AGACCAUGUUUUUGUUAUAAUGUUAAGGCCAUGUAAGCCUUGAUUGCAAUAACAUGUGAACUUUUCUCGUGCUGCAUCAACUGAUCUAUGAUCCAUUUAUUCUGGGGUGAAAAUCUGUCACAAGUUACAAUGGGCAAACCAAAUAAUUGUUAUUCUCUGCUUUUUGGACAGAUCCAGGUGUUCUUAUACUUAAUUAUAUGCAUUUAUUGACCUUGUGGAGGAUGAUAGUAUUCUGUGAUUCACAUUCAUGAUGAGCAAGUGAAACAUGAUGUGUGAUGUGUAAUGUUGGAUGCUUCAAUUUAUUAUACCUUUUAUUUUGAUAUUUACCUAUAAUAUGUUUAGGAAAAUAUGAAUUUUGCCUCUAUCUUGUAAUAGAUAUGAGUUCAGAAGCAAUCAUGAGGAAUGGAUUAACACAGAAAAGCCAAUUCUUGAACCUGAUUUCUCAGCACAGAUGAAUGAAAUAAUGAAGAUAUCAGAGGCAGAGAUUGAACUCUGCAAGUCAAUUAGAGAAGAAAUGCGUUUGGCUAUCAACUCUCUAUUGAAGGUAUUCUUUCUUAAAAUGGUACACUUUGAAUUUAAAUAUUAAGUCAGCAAUAGUGUUUAUAAACCAAAAUAUCCUUUGCUGAAAAUUAAAUGACAUGUUUUUGUUAAUCACAAACUGACAUUGACUUAGAGGCUGUUUGGGAGUGCGGUUGGACCACACUUUUCCAAAUUUUUGAUUUUUUUUGUUGAAAAAGCUUCAAAUUAAUAUUUGUUUAAGUGUUUUUUGAUCAUUUUGAUGUGCUGAUGUCAAAAAUAAAAAAAUAUGAAAAAACAUUAUUUUAAUGCAUUUUCAAGAGAAAAGAACUUUGAAAAACAACUUCUACCACACUCCCAAACCAACAUGUGUUUGGUAAUGUGGUGCAGUGUGCUUUUUAAUUGAAAAUGCAUCAAAAUGAUUUUUUUUUCUAGAAUUUUUUUUUAUUUUUGAUAUCAGCACAUCAAAACCUUCAAAAAGCACAUAAAAAAAAAAUCAAUUUGAUGCCUUUUUAGGCGAAAAGCAAGAAGCUACCGCAGUGCCAAACAAGCACAAUAGAUUUUUCUCUGCAUAACCUUCAAUCAACUCUUAAUGGAUGCAUUAAUGAAUACAACUAAAGGACAAGUAGUCAUUUAGAGUUUUAAUACAUGGCUUUAUUUUUUACCAAAUAAACAAACUUAAGUCUUGGGGAAAAGUUUAGAGUUUUAUUACGAUGGCUUUAUUUUUGCCCAAAUAAACAAACUUAAGUCUUGGGGAAAAGAACAGAAUUGAAACAACAACAACAACAAUAUUUUUUGUUUGCUUGGAGCAACCAAUUAAUUUAUGUAAUUGGUUUGAGUCAGGGUUUUGGAGCUUGAAGCAACAUUUUUUGUUUGCUUUUCCAAAUAGAGAAUACCAUUCAUGGUGCAACCUUCUUGAUUAUCUUAUUUUGAUUUGUUUAUUCAGAAUGGCUAUAUUGAUGGUGCCUAAAUACCUCAUCUUUUUUGUUCUUUUAAUUCCUGUGGCAAUCCAGGAUGAUGGGAUACUGGUGGUCCCUACAAUGGCUUAUCUUCCUCCAAAACUUGAUGGGAAGGAGAUUUUAUCUGAAGAAUAUAAGAGCUCUUCAUUUAGUCUUUUGAGCAUUGCUAGCCUAUCAGGUUGCUGUCAGGUGAAGCUCUCUCUCUCUCUCUCUCUCUCACUCACACACACACACACACACACACACACAUGCAUGUGCAAAUGGCAAUUAGAUGUGGCAAUAAAUUCCUGUUUCCUUUUAUAAUGCAAAGUUUUAUCACUUAAAUUUAUUUAUUUCUCUUAUUCAUGUUUCAGGUCACUGUGCCAUUAGGAUAUUACGACAAGUGUCCUGUUUCAGUGUCCUUGAUAGCCAGGCAUGGAAAUGAUCGCUUUUUACUAGAUACACUGCAGACCAUGUAUGCAUCUCUGCAAGAACAGGCAGAGACACAUGUGAAAUCUAAAUCAAGGAACACAGACAGCGGGGAAAAUUCUGCUGAGAUGGCUAAAGAAAAGGUAAAUUACGCAUCUUUAAUGUGUCUAUCCUGUCAAAACUGUAUUUUGGAUUGAAUUUGAUUGCACAUAGCAUGCUAAUCUUGAUCUUUCAUUUGAUGACUUUAAUGCCACUUUAAAUCAAUUCCCAUAUCCACCUCAGAAGUUGAGCGAGCAUUAAAAGAGAUACUGGGCCUUACACUGAGUUGUGCUGAUUGAUUUACUGUCAUAAUUAAAGAGUUGUUCAUUGUACACCUUUUGCACAAUGUUUAGAUAAAUUAAAUAGACUUUAAUGUUGGCUCUGGUGCCUGUCUUGUUUCAAUAUCAAUAAUAGAGAAAAGGAAAACCACUGAAUUUUUCUAAAUGUAUUUGCUUCUAUUUCAUAUUGUCAAUGAUACUGCUAAUUUUCAAUGGUUUAUAUGAUAAGUUUGAAUUAAAUUAUUUUAUUUUAUUUUGAUUAAAAAAUAUAGUACUGAUGGGUGUACACUUGUAGUGAUGAUUAGGAUGGCAACUACAAUUAUCUGUGAUCAUUAUAACCAUUAAUAGUUCUUUUUGAGAAAAUUGGCAUCUUGUUUGUUGCUCUUUCCACCUUUUUUUAAAAUGGUGUUAAAUAGCUUCAAUAAAUAAAUGACAAGAUGUUAAAAGGAAGAUGCAUAAGGGAAGAUUACAGACCAACAACACCUGAACAUAAGCUGGGUGAUGCUGCCAAAUCAAUGCAUGUUUGUAUUUAAAUUUACUCACAUUCUAUAAACAUGCAUUUUCAUUUCAACUUAUCUAGGAAUCCAUGAGAUGGAAGACUUGUGAUUCUCAUAGUUUGGAAAUUAUGUUAUUAGUCAGCUUUAUGACUAUCAAUGUCUGAUUUCACGCAAAAGAUUAAUUAGUUCCAUAUUGUUUCAUUGUCCUAUAUAUAAUUUGCAAAUGUUUUGUGCUAUACUAGUUAAUGAAUCUCUUUAGAGGCUGAACUUCCUUGCCACCCAUUUCUAUGAUGAAGGGCAAUCAAGCAUUUAAGGAGAAGCAGUGGAAGAAGGCUAUUAGCUAUUAUAAUGAAGCUAUCAAACUUAACGACAAGAAUGCAACAUAUUACAGUAACAGAGCUGCAGCAUAUCUUGAACUGGGAAGGUAUUUUUUGAUUCUUGAAUGUUGUUGUAUUGGUAUCUUAUUGUACUUGGCUGACAAAUUUCUUUUUCUUUCAGUUUCCAUCAAGCUGAAGCAGAUUGUUCAAAGGCUAUCAACCUUGAUAAAAAGGUGAUUUCUUGCUAUUUUGAUUAGCUUUGUUACAGAUUGCUUCACUAUUUUUCAUCAACUAUGAUGAAACUCUCUUUGAAACCUGCCAAUUUGAUAAGGUUUGCAGAAUACAGCUGUAACAUCAGUUGUUUCUGGAGAUUUAUAGGACUGUCCUGUAGCUGUAUUCAGGCUGCUAUAACAUUGGUUCCUAUUUUUUAUUUCAUUUUUAGAAUGUAAAGGCCUAUUUGCGAAGAGGGACAGCAAGAGAGAUGCUUGGUUAUUACAAGGAUGCAAUUGAAGGUAAGUCAUUUCAUCACAUUACAUCCUUCUUUGAAUAGGUUCUUUCUUUGUUUCAUCUUGUCAUCUGUUAGUUACCUGCUCCCUGGCUUUAGCCAAUCAGGUGAUGUCUACAGAAAACGAUCGGUAGUCAAUUAUUGAGCUAUUUUGUUGUAGCUGCUUGUUGAGACUGAGAAUAUGCUAAAUAUCUGUUGAUCUUGGAAUUCUUCUAACGCACCUCCUUUAGUUAUUUCUAAUCUUAUUGCCCCAACCCCGUGGACUAAUGAAACCUCUUGUUCUUGCAGAUUUCAAAUAUGCCCUGGUCCUUGAGCCAACUAAUAAAAGAGCAUCCCUUUCUGCUGAGAGAUUAAGGAAAGUUUUUCCAGUAGGUUAUUGAAGCAAAAACAAAAGUUUCUGGGACGGGAGAAGUUUUGAAUUUAGUUUCAUACAGCAAAGCUUUGGUUGGUGACUCAAAGCCGAUGACCCCAGUUAAGUAAUGAUACUUGAUAGAUGCAAUUUUAUGCUUGAUAUUUUUAUGGGGUGUUUUUUGUGGGUAGAGAGAAUCCUUCAUGUGGAGGUAAUAGAGGUCAGGCGAAAUUUAUUAUUUGAUCCGAUAGGACAUUUUGGAGCGGUGGAAAAAUUGUUGUCAAAACUUGUAAUUAUAUUCCAAUUUUGUUGUUUAAAUAUCCACGUCAGGCUUUUAUUUCUAGUUUUGAGGUGAUCCCUUAUGCUUGAAAAAUCUUUGCUUCAUUGUGACGUGGGGAAACUUCUGCUUAUUGCAUUGUUUCAUUAACGGAUAAGGUUUUUAUAUCUUGAGGGGUUUUAAGAAGAUUAUGCAUUAGUUUGAUAAAAUUAGCUUAACAUUUUUAUAAUUUUAAUAGAAGAUUAUAAAUACUCUGUUUUUUUAUUGGAUAAAAUUUUAUGAUGAUUGGAAAUGAAAAUUUCAUUUAAAUAUGGUUCAAAAGUUAUCAUGAGGGAUUCGUUUUGUUUGUUUUAUUGUAUUUGAAUUUUUUUUCUACUUAGUGUAACUUUGAAUUUAAUCAGUAUUCUAAUGCUAUAAGUUUUAAUUAAGAAUUCUUUCAUAUAAAGAAUAUUAAAUUUAGAACUAGAAUAAUAUAAACAAGAAUGUCUGGUUUAUUUUGAGAAGAUUUUGAUUUUUAAUAAAAUAUGUGAGUUUUUCUCUAUUUCUCAAAAGUGUUUAGGGUUGUAAUUUUAGGGCUUGAAAACUUUUAUUUUUAUCCACUAAAUAUAUUGUAUUAAUUGGUAUCAAAGUAUGAUGACCUAUUUGAUCAAAGAGGGUGAUAACAACUCACUUUGUGAUGCAGGAGGUGUUGAGGUCUUUCAUGAUAUUACAGGGCUUCUAGAGCAAAAACUAGAUAGUUGGGAACAAAUGUUUGAUUGUUUGAAGUAAACCAUAAAAGAUCGGCUAAUAAGAGAUAAAAAUAGAAAUUGUGAAGAGAAAAGGAACUUGUCUAGAGAUUUACGUUCGAGACAUGUUAUACCUAAUAUCUAUUCCUGAAUUUGAUAAGAUUCUAUUAUAUGAUAUGAGAUUUUCAAAGAAAAGAUUUAUGAAUUAAUUAGCAGAGUUAAAAGUUUAUUUUUUUUAUCAAGGUUCUUUAUUAUAAAAAAGUAGGAUUUGUCGCACAUAAAUUGUUUUAUGGUGCUAGGAAAUGAUGAUUUGAAUUUUUAGAAAUUGUAUUGGUAUGUUUUUAAUUCUAUUUUAGCAAGAUUUGAGGCAAGCCAAACCCAAGACAUAUUCUUGAUUUUGAUAAGAUUCUAUUAUGUAAGAUUUUCGAAGAAAAAAUUUAUAAAUUAGUUGACAGAGUUGUAAGCUUAUUUUUUUUAUCAAAGUUCUUUAUCAUUAAAAGAUAGAACUUGUUGCAUACAAAUUGUUUUAUGGUGCUAGAAAAUAAUGGUUUGAAUUUUUUGAUUUUAGAAAUCAUAUUUGUAUGCCUUUAAUUCCAUCAUAGCAAGAUUUAUUUAUAUUGGAUAGACAAUCAAUUAUAUUGUUAUUAUUAGUCUUUUGUUCAACCUUCUAAAUAGCAAGGAAAAAGAAUAUGGAGGAGUGUUGUCUUUUAAAAGUAGAUAUUUUCAACAUUACGAGAGUGACAACAACAAUACUUAUGUAACUACUACUUUACUUGGAGACAUUUCAUCUACUAAUAGUGAAGAAAAAAUAAUCAAGAAAGCUCCCAAUUAGUAUCCUACAGUAAUUUCUAGAAAUAAUACUGAAGAAAUUUCCCCACGUUACAUUGUGCUCUAAGCUUUUCUUUUUUGAAUUAAUCUAAAGCCUGCAAAUGGCUAUCAUAUUGGCUUUCUUUCUUGAUUGAGUUGUGUGCCUUGGCCUCCUCUCCGCAAAAGGAACAUAUAUGAACCAGUCUUUUUCGCCUUCCACGCCCUUUCUGCUUUGUUCGAUUGCUUUUAUGCCAUAAGUGGGUAUUUUUUUUAAGAUUAGAUUUUCAGUGAUAUGCCAACUAUUUCAUUACUGCAUGUCCAUUGACAGCGUAAGAAGGCGAGAAAGAAAUAAGGAGCUCUGCUCCAAGCAAGCUAUUUUCCAGUAUUAGAUCUUCAUUAAGUGUCUAGAUUUUCUUAAAAAGGAAAAACGAAGGGAUGAAUAUACAGAGAAAUACCAUGCACAUAAUCAGAUAAUUGUGGGUUCAAUCACUUCCUUUUCCUGCAAAAAGGUAACAAAGAAACGCCAAGGAAACAAUCUGUUCCAACUUUUAGGCCAUUCAGCGUGCGCAACUAUCACUAGAUUAAAGCAUAUUCAUCAGUGUAGAAGAGUCCAUUUUCUUAAAAAAAGAAAAAGAAGAAGAAAAGGACACAAACAUGAGAUAUACAUACAUCUUUAAACUUCGAAUUUGACUUCAGUUAAUCCUAAACGUGAUCAAAAUAUUAGUCGGAAUUGGAGCAAAAGCAACUCAAUCAAAUGCAAAAAGCUCCUCCAGCUGUUCAUCUGUCCAUUGCGGUAGUGCGGCUCUUGAAGUUGGUGGUUGUCCAUCUUCAGUUCCGUUAUAAUUCCUCUUUUCUUGGUGGUCAAGGGCACCAACUGAGUCUGCUGCAGCAGUACCAUAUUCAGUACCUUCCAAUAUAUGGUCUAUGCCUGCUUUGCUGUAAUUGUUUAGCUUCUCACUUGUCACAGAUCCCUUGUCAUUGUCACUGGUGUCUGGUUCAACAGCCCUUUCUCUUCUGCCACUAUCCAAAUCCUGUCUCGCCAAUAAAUGAUCUUCCAUUGGAAGAGCAUUUUCAUUUCUGUUGUUUCCAAUGCUAUGACAUCUGCUUCUUAUCGGUGCAUCUUCUUCCAUCUGUUCAUCAAUGCACGCAACUGCCAUAGCAUGUUGUCUCAGACUAUUCAUGAUUCCUUCAGUUCUUCCUUGUGACAACGAUAGAUUUUGUGUCAUCUGUGAUCUUUCACCCUGUCCUGUGAUAUCUAAGGGGAUCAUAAGCAUUUGUAUUAGGCAUUUCUUUCUGAAAAAUGUAACACCAACAAAAGUAUUAACUACUCUUACAAGGAGAGCAAGCAUAUAAUCCAAAGAAAAAGUGUUUUUAGAUUUCUGAAGGCAGAAAGAAAACUAAGUGCAAAGUCUUUGUGUCCUACCAGAAACUACAGCAGCAUUUUUUACUGUUAAAUCACGAGCAGAACAAUUUUGUUCUGGUGAAGCUCUGCCAUCCUUAGUGAUGACCUGAAAAAGGUUGGUAUUAUAUUGUCAUCAACCAUAUAAACACUUGCAUGAUUGCACACAUUUUUAUACAUGAAUAUCAAUUGACAUGAAGCAUCUAAGCGUUUCUUAUAAUCCAGGACCACAAACUCAAAUAAGUUGCUUUGAUUUCAGACAUCAGAAAUCACUUUUCUAUUAAGAGAUCAGUAUUUGCAUGUUUUAUAAUUUGAAAAUAUGGAAACUAACAGGAAUUUAUAGAUCCUACCAUGCAAAAUCAGUAACUACACUAAUAUAGAGGAUGUUCAGAUGGGAACCAUUUAUAGUUCCACAUCGAGAUCCUGACUCCAUUGCAUCAAGAACCUGACUAUACUUCUUCACUGCCUGUUUUUAUUAUUGAUCAUUCUCAAAGGAAAAUCAACUAAAUGAUGUUAACCUUCACAAAUUCUUUAGUAUGAGCAGAUGUGUUUAUCUGAUGUAUAGAGCAAAAACUUCAGAUUGGCUCAGCAUAUACCCCCAGCCAGAAAGUUAAAAUCAUAAAAAUUAAAGAGUAUUAGAACUCCUUUUGAAUGAACAUAGCAAUGGGACAUUUCUAUAAGCUCAUAGAAGUGGGUGGUGAGAGAUUUUCUUCACUGAUAACUUGGAAAAUUGCAUACACCAGAAAGAACACAUACCUUGACCAUGUUACUAAGUGUUAUGUUGAGAUAACGUGCUAAACGUGUAGGACAAAAAACUGCAACCUGUAAACAGCAUUCUUUGAUCAAUCUCUCAAAGCAGAAACUAUCUCAUUGACUCCAAUUUGAGACAAAAGUUUUACCAAAGUCCCAACCGUCCAUAUUUAGAGACAAUAACACUCCUCUUAUUCAAAAUGUGAUAAGAAAAGCCAUGGUCUAGGAACAUUUAUCAUGAACAUGGUUUCAGGGGAAGAAUAAUAGUGAACCUUUUGGACUAUCAUCACAGCUCCAAUAGAUAUGUCCUUUCCAAAAUCUCCCUCAGCGAGGACUUUGUGAUGAAUGCUAGCAUCAAUUGUACCCGUGGGAUCCUAAAUCAAAACCCACUUCCGUUAUACCAAAUACAUGCACAAUUCCAAAAGAAGACAACAAGAAAUUUAUCUGCAUUCGAUAUCAAAACCCUUUUUUUAUCAACAAAAUCAGAACUCUAGUAAACAUACCUUUAGAGUCACCAUCAUAUCACCAAGGCCAUUUGGUCUACAUGAUUUAACAAUGGCAACAACCUAAUCACAUUUUUUAAACAUAGAAAAUAAGAUUCACAAAAAAAUCGUUGACAAUAAAAUUAAUAAUACAUUCAGCUAUCCUAAAAUUAGGAAACAUGCGCAUUUCUGUUACUUUCCCUUACUUUCUCAGGAACCAAACAUAGCCCAAAUAAUCUUCUAAUUUUGUCUUCUAAAUUAAACACAUAAGAUUCAUAAUUAGGAAUAGAUACCUGAGCCACUCUAUCAAAACUAGCCCAUCUCUUUAUCACACUCAAAGGGAUCCCAAUUGCACCAUCACCAUCCACCACCAAACCUAAAUUGCAUAACCCAAAUGAAUAAAAGACAGAAAGAAAAACCCAAACAUCAAAUGAAAAUGAAAAUAUCAAGAACCUUGAUGACGAACAAAAUCAACGGCAGAGAGCCAAGGAUCACGCGUAAAAUCGUCAUCUUCAGCACAACCACUAUCCUCCACAGCCCUUCUAAUGUACUCUUGAGUAGGGAUUGGUUCUUCUUCUUCCAUCAGAUGUUCAUUAAUUUGACUCUUGCGGCGGUGCAUGGCAGCUUGUACGGUUCCAGCAGGGCCCGGGAUUUUGGAGUAAGUGGUUGUUGGUGGUGGUGGGUUGUUUUGGGUGUUCUGAGAGCAGCGGCCAAGAAAUGGUUGGGAGAGAGUGUGGUUAGGUCCACCAGUUCCACCGGUAGUGGCGGUGGAGGGGGUGAAAUUCUGAUGGCGUUUGAGAGGGCGGAGAGGAGGGAGGUCUGAGUCUGAGUCCGACGAGUCUUUUAGGUCUAGUGCCUCUUCCCACGGAGUGUCCAUUUCCUGGUUUCUUUUUUCGGGGUUUUGUGAAAGCGCGGGAAGGAUUAGUAUUCAGGAAAGGUUUGUUAACUAUAGGGAAAAUUUAAGUGGUGUGAACAAGUUAAAAACCUCAACCCGUACUCUGAUUAGUCUACAGAAAAUUCAGUAAAAAACUGUUAAUAUUUUUUUUUAAAAUUAUAUAUUUUUUAUUUUUUAUAAAAAAAAAUGACUCGUGACUUAAAAUUUACCGUAAGUCAUUCUGGAUGGAGUGCAAUAACUAUACUUAAAUCUAUUAUUAAAUCAAACAAAACCAAAGAUACAAGAAUAGAAUAAUUAAUAUCAAACUUAUAGAUCUAUUAUUUUAUUAUUUUAUCAUUAUUUUUUUUUAAUAAAUAGGCUAAACUAGGCUUGAAGUCCAAGCCUGGCCCGAUCAAAUUGGGUUGGGUCAACUAACAACCCAACAAUCUUUUUUUUUUAAUAUAUAUAUUGGGCAGGAACUAGCUCAACAAUAGAGGUGGGGUUGAAACAGGUCCAUCCUAGCUUACAUGCUCACUAACUCAGCCCAAUGACCAUUUAUAAUUUUUGGUUAUGAAUUUUUUUAAUUUAACCCUUAAUUGACUCUAAAUUUGGAUUUUCUUGCAAUUUUACCUCUGUUUUCAAUCAAUUGACUUUGUAAAUAUUAACUUUGGUUUUCUAAAUUCUAAUUUUCUCAAUUAAGUCCAAAAUUGGGCUCCAAACUUAAUUUUUCACCAAUUAAGUCCCUAAUAGAAUUAAUUUGACCUAUUAUAAAUAUAAUUAAGUCAUUGCACCUAGUUAAAUCUUUCAAUUUGACCAAAAUUAAUCCUAAAUAUAAUUUUAAUUUUAAUUUGCUCUAUGAUUAAAUCAAAUUAGCCUAUUAAAAAUUUGAUUAUAUCUCUAGGCUUAAUUUUUAUACAAAUUCGUUCAAUAAUCAAUUAAUUUGACCUUAAAUUCACAUUGUCUCUUCAGUCUUGGGUACAAUGAGGUAUGAUUAGGCUUUCAAUUUUGUCCAAAGCUUUAGCUGGAUUCUUUUCUAUGUAUUUGAACCCUCUCAGCUUGUUUUUGCUAUGUUGCCAACCUUUUUUUUAUUAUUAUUUUUAUAAGGAAAAAAGGGUAAAGUUUUAGGAAAAACCCGAAAAUAAGUUAUGACACAUAUUAUUGAUAACAAAAUAUUUUUCAUAGGGAAAAGACUUGGAAACUCUUAUGUGAUUAACUUGAAUGAUAUUGAUUAUGAAGUUAAGUGUUUUAGUUCUUUAGUAGACUUGUUUUGUAUUUGUCAUAGAAGACUUGGACAUGCCAAUAUGAGAUUAAUUUAAAAGUUGUAUAUAAAAAAAGAGGCUAUGAAAGGACUUCCACAACUUGAGUACAAAAGGAAGUGAUUUGUGAUGCUUUCUAAUAUAAAAAGCAAGUCAAAAGCUCCUUCAAAUCCAAGAAUCAAGUCUUCACAAAUCAAGCACUAUAACUUCUUUAUAUGGAUCUACUCAGUCUUAUGCAUGUUUCAAGUCUCGGUGGUAAGAAAUUUACAUUUUGUUAUAGUAGAUGACUAUACUAGGUUUACAUGACUUUUAUUUCUUGCGCACAAAGACAAGGCACUUUAAAGCUUCUUCAAAACUUUGUAAAAGAAUUCAAAAUGAAAAGAUGUUUGAUUUCCAAAAUUAGAAGUGAUUAUGAUGGAGAACUUGAGAAUUUAUGUGAAGAAAAUGAUUUUAAGCAUGAAUUUUCAACUUCUAAAACUCCAUAACAAAACAUAGUUGGUGAGAGGAAAAAUAGUGUACUUCAAGAAAUGGGAAGAACUAUGUUAAAUGAGUAUAGUUUGCUUAAUAUUUUAGGUUGAACUCAUAUACCUCUUAUUAUGUUUCAAACCAAGUUUUUCUUAUACCAAUUUUACGUAUAACUCCAUAUGAGCUUUGGUUUUAAUGAAAACCUAAUAUUUUAUAUUUUUAUGUAUUUGGAUCAAAAUAUUUUAUUUUAAAUACAAAAUACAAUUUGGGAAAGUUUGAUGCUAAAUUUGACGAAGGUAUUUUUUUUUGUUAUUCAUCUACUAUCAAAGCAUAUAAAAUAUAUAAUCAUAAAACUCUAAUAGUUGAAGGGUCUAUGCAUGUUAUAUUUAAUGAGCCUAACCCUUUUGAUCCUAAAAGGGAAAAAGAUGUUGGUGUAAAUGUUAUUUUUAUAGGUUAAACCUAAAUUAAGAUCUAGAAGACACAAUAUUAGAUUUUGGUAAAAAAAGAAAAAGAAAGAUCCUUUAGUGACGACCAUACAAUAUAAUCAACAUGAGUAAAAGGAACUUUCACAAAGUCUUCCUAAAGAAAUUCAACGACUAAGAGGACUUUCGCAAGACGCUAUAAUUGGUGACCACUUAAGGAGUAAGAAUAAGAUCCUCUAUGAUAAAUCAAGUCGGUAAUGUUGUUUUUAUCUCUAAACUUAAACCUAAGAAUAGUGAUGAAACCUUAUGUAAUGAGUAUUGGAUACUUUUAUUGCAAGAAGAGUUUGAUUGAAAGAAAUCAAGUAUACUAAUUAGUUCCUAGGCCAAAAGAUUGUUUCAUUAUUAGAACCAAAUAGGUCUUUCACAAUAAACUUGAUGAAUUUGAAGAAGUUAUUUGGAACAAAGCUUGACCCAAUGAUACAAUUAAGAAGAAGACAAAUAUUAUGAUGGAACUUAUGCCCCAUUAGCUAGGAUAAAAUUAAUUUGAAAGUUACUUGCAUUUGUAUGCUUUAAGAAUUUUAGAAAUUCUCAAAUGGAUGUAAAAAGUGAAUUUUUAAAUGGUUACAUUCAAGAAGAAGUUAAUGUUGAGGAACCUCUUGGUUUUGAAAGCCAUAAUUUUCUAAAUCAUGGUUUUAGGUUUUGUAUAGUCUUAAGCAAGCUCUUAGAGCUUGGUAUGAGAAACUAAGCAUUUUUUAUUAUUACUUUAAAAUGCUUUAACAUAGAAAAAAAUCAAUUCUACAUUAUUUAUGAAAUACAAAGAACAUGAUUUAAUUAUUGUAUAUAUUUAUGUUAAUGAUAUCCUAUUUGGUACUACUAUUGAAUCUUUGUGCAAGGAAUUUGAAAAUUAUAUGCAUAAAGAAUUUAAGAUGAGCAUGAUGGUGAGUUGAUCUUCUUUCUCAGACUAUAAAUCAAGUAAGAUAAAGAUGACAUAUUCAUAAAUCAAGCGAAAUAUACCAAUGAGCUACUCAAGAAAUUUGAUUUGGACUCUAUAAGUUUAAGUCCUACUCCAAUACUCACAACCACCAAACUCGACAAAAAUGAACAUGGAAAAUUGGUGGACAUGAAGAAAUAUCAAGGUAUGAUUGGUAGCUUGCUUUAUUUAAUUGUUACUAGACCUGAUAUUACGUUUAACAUUUGUCUAUGUACUAGAUUUCAAGCUAGUCCUAGAGAGUCUCAACUUUGUAUUUUCAAGUGAAAAAUAUUUUGACAUUUUGACAUUUUGUAUAUGUUUUUUAGAAUCUGUAAGGCCAUUAUAGUUGUUUAGAUUGACUUUAACAGCGACACAAUCCUUAGAAAGGUGAGUGUGUAACACUAUGUGACUAGGUGAAGACUUUUCCAUUUGGUGGGAGUGGUGUGCAAAAGUUAGGGUUAGUAUGGUCUUAUACAUGUUGUGUCUAGUUUUUUUAGUUGAGGAGCAUAUAAAUAAAAAGACCGAGAUUCAGAAAAAAAUUGAUGGAGAUAGCCACGUUUGUGGUUUGGAUUUGCUAGGGAGUGCUGGCUUAUUUCAAGAGUUGGAAUAUGGUACUUACUUGACUUGUUGUUUUAUCCAGUUUUUUUUUCUAAAAUUAUAGUUAUCUUUGUGCACCUAGUGUUGUGGGUUGAUUUUUUUAUUGAUUGUACUAAAAAGAGUGAAGUUGUUCCUGUAUGGCUAGAAUAACAUUGUUGAGUACUUGCACUUAUUGGAAGAGUUGUUAAAUUCCUGAAGAAACUGGAGUCUCUUUGAGGAGAUCAAUUACUCUCAUAUAUUAGAGACUCAUUAGCCAUGGAUUUUCUUUUAGAAGUUAAAAUGAAAUGAACUGGUUUUUGUAUAGUUUUUCACGCACGACGCCAUUAAUGAUGUUGUAAAAAAGCUUCAUACAUAAAUAAACUUUCCCUAGCUUAGUUCUGGGCCCGAGUAGGAAACAAGUUCCUUAUAGAUAGAAGGACACUUUGAUGUCUAGUUAAUAUUUGAGUUUGGUUGAUCAUGUGACAAGCAUGUAAAAAAUUAAUAAGAUGAAAAAUAUUAUUAAGUUGUGUGUAGAAAAACUCUAUGUGUUAUCCUUGUGUUUUUUAGAUGAAAAAAUAUCCUCCCCUUUUCUCUCACUAAACCUGAGAAUAUAUAGCUUAUCUUGAAAAAAAAUCUACAUUCGUGAACCAUAAAGUGACAGUUGUAUUUUAUAGCUCACUCAUAUCAAGAGUAGCUUGCUAUAUGUAACUAGUACAACUCAACAUCAGAGAGUCAACAUAGAUAAUAAUAAUAAUAAUAAUAAAGGAUACAAAGAGAAGAGAGAGAAAUGGUGGUGAACUUGUUGUGCUUUGCAAUUUGGUCCAAUAGUACAAGGUAGCUCGACUAGGCUGAAAACAAUUAGCCCAUACCGAGAUACCAUAUAGAUCGGCUAGGCUAAAAUAAUCAGCCCCAUUGAGUUACACAAUAGCUCGGUCCACAAGACUGCACAUGACAACUCGGUCUGAGGCAGUAUGGACUCGGUGGGGGUUGUAUGUACAAACUUUGAGUGAGCUACAUACAACCUAUUUGAGGGAUACUUGCAGCCCAUGUCUGGACUGUCAAGUCUAGACCAAACCUUUUUUCUUUUUGUAUUGUCGGUAAGAAUGGGUAGUUGAAUCUUAAUUGGCCAAUCAUAAUUUUCUUGAUUAUGAAAUUAAUUUAAUUCAAUGUUUUUUUUUAAUCCUUUGGUCUUAUAGGGCAUAAAAUACCUUCUCUGUUAGUUUUAUAUAUAUACUAGCUAGUGACCUGUGCUCUGUGAUGGAUUAGAUAAAAAAAUUAAAUGAAAGAUAGAUGCAAACAUUGUCAAACCAUCUUUUGGCAUUAAGAAAAUUUUAAUUGUGAACUGAAAAGUUGAUGUAUAUGUUUAAUAAAAAAAACUAAGAAUUAUAUACGUCAAUAAAUGUCAAAAAGAGUCCUCAAUGCUAACUAAAACUAAGUCGGUAAGAUAAAAGAUAAAUGCUAAUUAAGAUAUCUUAUCUCGUCAUAUAUGAAGCUCUUUAAAUUUUUUUUCCUCUAAUUAUAUGGCAAUAAUUUUUUUUUAUAUAUAAAUAGUAAUAAUUUAAAUUCCAUUAAAACAAAAUAAUUAUAUAUUAUAAUCUUUUCUUUUCUUAUUAAUAUAUUUUUUUAACAAAAAAUAUAGCUUUAUAAGUUAUGUUGUUUAUUUAACAAAAGCUGAAAGUAAUUAUAAUAAAUAUUAAAAACAUUUUGAACGCUUUGAAAUAAGGAUAAAUUGGGUGGAUGAUUAGUAGUUAUCCUAAUUUUUUUUUAAUAAAAUAAGUAGAUGACACAUAAUUUAUUGGUAAAAUUUCAACAAUCUUAGAAAUAUGAAAAGUGAAGUCCGUCCUAUAUGAUCCAAAAAAACCCAUUUGCAACAUUUAUUUUUCAUGUGAAAACUUGUAAAAAAAAUCCCUAAGACCUCAAUAAAUCUAUUUUAAACUUGGUUAAGAAAAUAAAAUAUUAACUCGAAUCCAAAUUAAUCGAGUCCGGAUCUAUCUUUUAUUUUUGCAUGAUGAAGGAUUAAAAAACUUAAAUAACACUCUUCUUAUUUCUAGAAUGUGGCCAACCUAUCAUUUUUAGUUAACUUUCUCUCUCUCCCCCUCAAAUUCAAGGAUUGAAACUGAAAAAAUAAAAAUAAAAUUUUGUACCUAAACAAAAAAAAAAGUAAAAAGAAAAUAGCUAAACUAAAAGUACUUCUCUCUCUCUCUCACACACACACACAAAUAUAUAUAUAUAUAUAUAUAUAUAUAUAUAUAUAUAUAUAUAUAUAUAUAUAUAUAUAUAUUUACUUUUAAGACUUAUCAACAAUUCUGUCUAUUUUAUCAAAAAUAAAAUAUAAAAGUAGCGAUUGUUAAUUUAAUAUACCUUGUAACCAAUCGGUUGGUUAUACGUGACAUUAUUGUAUUCAUGUAAAUACAUAUUUAUUAUUAAUUAAGGCUUUAUUUAUCUUUAAUAGUCAUAUACUAUUAGAUUAAUAAAUUUAAUAUUUGAUUUGUAAAUCUGUAGUAAAGAUAAAGUUCAUGGGAUAAAAAUACUUUGCAAAUGAAAUUAUAAAGUUGUUAUAAUUAUGAGAUUCCUAUUGCAUCAAAGCAUUAUUCUUAAAAUGUUCCUGAUCGAUGCUCUCUUAAAUACUAGAUAUUUAUUAGAGCUGUAGAGACUGCUACAUAUUAUGUUCUUUUCUUUAUGGAAGGAAACAAUUGUUCUCAUAAGUUAAGGUAUAAUGAAUACUUAGAACUAAUAUGUAGGUGCUCGUCAUAAGACAUGUACACUAAACUGACCCGCAUGAGAAUUGUAUAUGGAGAGAGAUCACAUAUAUCUAUGGAAAAACUUACAUGACAACUAUGUAAGUGAUUCUUAGACUUACGAUCACUAAAUUAUCUUAUAUAAAAAAUGUUAUGUUCUGAUCUUAUUAUAUGUUAUCUUAAUCGAGGUAACAAAGGAGUAAAUAUUGAGUAUAACAUGAACUAUUUGAAGAUACUUGAGUGAUCAAGAGAUGAUUCAUCAUCCUAGGUGAAUUAGAAAAAAUAUUUUAUUUAUUCUCAAAUAGCAUUGACUAAGAAAUCAUUGACCAAUGUGGAAUGAGGUUUUUAAAAAAAUUCAAAUCUUAUUCAAACGAUCAAUGACUAUUAUGUAGAGAACAAACAUAAUUUAACAUGACAGACAUACUUCAUGCUUUAAUGUUAAAUCAGAACAUUAUUGGUGAAAGAAUAUUAAUUAUAUUGAGAAACCAGUCACUGAAAAGUUAAGUCAAACUACUAAUGACUUUUCUAAUAUUUGAGGGAUCAUGACACGUUGUUAGACGAUACACUUGAUUUUCAAAUAUAAAUUAAUCAAUUAUUGAAUUGAUAAUAAAUUAAAUUGUUUAAUUUAUUUAAUUCUAUUUAAUUAAAAUUAAAAUUUAUAUUUGAAUCAACAUAUUAGAAAUCUAAUGGGUCACACACAUUAAGAACCAUUAGUCAGAAAUUAAAUUAUGAUGAUUUACUUAAGUAUGACUUAAUUAAAAUAUAUUUUAGAAAUUAAGGAAUAGAAUAUAAUUAAUAUAGAGAUUAUAUUUCUAGACCUCGAGAAAUCAAGUAAGGGCCUGAUUGAGUUAAUUUCUAAAAUUAUUCUAAAUUAAUAUAUGGAUAUUAUUCAGAUGACAAAUUGAUAUUUUUCCAGUUUAUAGUGUUUUUUAGAUUUCUCUACAAAUAAUAAGCUAUGCCUCUUAUUUUUUAGGGGUUGUUUGUUAAAUAGAAAAACUAUUCAAGUUAUAUAAAAGAGAGCUAGCAUUGUAGGCAUAGCAAUCUUUUUUUUUUUCCUAAAUAGGGAUUUAUAAGAUUUAUCACCAAUGGUUCGUGUGAAUUACCGUUGGAGACGGGACAAUUUGAUAACUUGUGGUCUGCGAUAACUCAGUCUUUAAAGAAUUAUUUAAAGUUGAAAAAAAUCAGAUCUUUAGAAAAUAAACCCCUAAACAACUCUAGAUCUGUCUGACGAGAUUCUAGGAACUCCCAAAUAAUUUUAUUUUAUUAUUUUUGCUGUGUGUAUGAUAUUCGAGAACCCAAAACGAUAUAUAUAUUUUUGACUAAAAGGAAGAAAAUUUGAAACCAAGGAUUCAACUAAUAAUCAAAUUAGAAAUGUAGCUAAUCAUUUAAAAUUUGUUGGAACCUAUAUAUUUAUUUAAAAUAAGAAUAUGAUCACGGUAAGUUGAGCUAAUAUAAUUAAGGGUGAGCAUUCAGUUGAUAACUUCGAUUUAGUUUAGGUUAAUCAAACCUUCAAAAAUCAAAAUCAAAAUCAAAAUCAAAACCUAAUCGAAAUGUGAUUGGAUUUUUGGUUUUUUGAAGCAAAAAAUUUGGUCUUUCAUUCAUUUUUUUUUUGUUGCGAAAAACUAAAACUCUCUUCUUUCUUAUUUUAACAUAGAAAAUGAUUUUAUGAUUUUGGUUCCGUAAACAACAUUUCUACCAUGUGUUGUAGAAACUAAGGAUUUAAAUAUCCAAGACAAAUAAAUAAUACAUAAAUAUAAAAAUACAAUUUACCUAUCAAUCAAUCCAAAAAAAAAAAAGGGAUAAAAAGAUUUUAACUAAUAAGAAGGUAGUUUUCUGGUUCUUUAAUGUUGGGUACUUUCAAUUCUUAAAAAAUACAAAAAUUGAAUCGAAUUAGAUAAAAAAAUCAAAUCAAAUAGGGUUUGGUUUUGAAAGCAAAUAGACUUUUGGACAAAAACAAGAGAAGAGUUGAACUUCUGGAUAAUAUAUUUUUGUUUGUGGAACCAGUCUAGAUAAAGAUAGCACCCAAUUGUUCAAAAUAUAUUAUAAAUACGCGUCCAAACGAGCCAGAUGGCAAUCCAUACGAGGAUGCCUUCUUCAAGCUGCUGCUGCUGCUUCCUCUAUUUGGACGCCCUGUACUCUUUGGUCAAUGAAUUUUGUCACCCUGCUAAGUUAGCCGACAUGAAACGUGGGACAAGAGACAAAAAGAAGAAGAAGAAGAAGAAGAAGAUGUCUUGUCUUUGUGUAUUGAACUACGACCACGCGUACUUGUUAUCUUUAUCCUGAUUUACUGUGGUUUUUGAAAGUAUUUUUUUAGUAUUAUAAUACGGUAAAAUUCUUAAAAACCACGACGAACAAACGGUCUCGAACCAUAUCAUGAUUGCCGUUGUUACAGGCUUCCUUACAGCCGAGGUGGUCAGCUAGCUGUCUGUCUAUUCAAAGACAAAACCACCCAAUUCACCAUCUCAUGCCAGCCUCACCCAAUUCACCAUCUUUCAUCUUCCUCCCUCUCAAACUCACGCACAAUUCUUUUACCUGGCCAGAAGGAAAAAACAACGCCUCUAGAACGGACUUGGCAACGCAGAUGGGCCUCUCUGUUUUUUUUUUAUAUAUAUAUAAAAUAUAUAUAUAUUUUAAAGAAAUAUUAUAGACAGUUGUAACACGUUGUACAAAAAAUCAAAUUGUGUUGACUUAGUUAAAAUUUGAUGGAAUUUGGUAACAUAAACAGUUUUGUAUUUUUUUUUUUACCUGGAAACUCCUGUCUGUCACGUCAUUGGUGGGGCUUGUUGAAAAUGCAGUAAUAUAAAAGAGGGAAGGUGAUCAAAGAUUUAAAAAAUAAAAGAAUCAUUUUUAACUCAAACACAUCAAGGAGGAGAAGCUUUGUGUCUAAUGGAGAGCAUUUUGGGUCUGCUCAGAAUUCGUGUCAAACGUGGUAUAAACCUUGCUGUACGUGAUGUUCGUAGCAGCGAUCCUUAUGUUGUCAUCAGGAUGGGCAAUCAGGUUGGUUUCUCCUUUUUUUUCUUUUUUCUCAUCUCUCUUGCAGUUUUGUGUUCUUUCUUCUUAUUUUUCCUUCGUUUGUUCUUUGCUUUCUUUUGGUGCUGUUUCUUCUCCGAGAUCGGAAAAUUUCGAAAUAAGAAAGAACUUGUUAAUCUUGGGUUGUAUUUUUUAAUCUAGAUUCUCAAUUCUUUUAAGGAAAACCCCAAGAACUUCAAGUCUCAAGUAUUUCUUAGAUGCUUUGAUCUGAUAUGUUUAAAUGUUUCUCUUGUUGAGAAAGUAUCGUUUUAGGUCUAUGAUGUUCUUAUGCCCUCAACCAAAUUACAACUUAUUGUGGUAAUAAAUUGAAGAUUGAUGAGUUAUGAUGUAUUGGAUGAAUUGAUAAUCAGAAGCCAGAAAUUCUGUAAGAGAACAUAUUAUUUUUGGAUGUUAGUCUUAAAUUUUAGUAAGGGAAAACCCAGAAUUAGCAAGGUUAGCAUAAAAAAAAGGGUAUAAAGCUAGUUGGCUACUGCCUAGUUGUUUUGGUAAGAAAAUCUGGAUGCCAAUCUUUUCUCAUUUUGUGCUGUAAUCCUAGUCCAAAAUAAUUUCUUCGAUAUCUCCAAUUUCUGUAUGAGCGAUGUCUGUACAAUUCCUCCUGCAACAUAGGAUGGUACAAUUUCUUCGACAUCUUCUCAUUAAUCUUGACAGUUCAGCAUGCUGUGCUAGCAAGUUUAACUUAGGAUGAGAACCACAUUCAAGUGCAUAGAUUAUAACUUUCUAUCGCUUUUCACGCUUUUUUCUUCUUUUUUACAUUUAUUUAAUUUGUCCCCAUCUAAUUUCCUGUCAAGAUUUUAUUGCUUAUAGUACGGUAGGAUGCAAAUGUUGUAGUAUUUCAUAUUUACUUGGAGUAUAUGUUUUUCUUCUUUUAGGCCUUUUUAGUCACUACAUUACGUCUGCUAAUUUUAUGAUUGUAAACAUUUGCUGCAGAAACUGAAAACUCGUGUGAUCAAGAAGGACGUUAACCCACACUGGAAUGAAGAUUUAACUCUUUCUGUUACAGAUCCUAAUCUUCCAGUCAAGCUGGUAAGUUUAAUGUCUUGUCACAUUAGGACAUAAGAGCUAUUUCAGCAAGGGACAUGCAUGCACAUGUUUAUUGUGCAGAAAAGAACUAUUAUGAUUGCCUUCUCUUCAGUGCUCUUUGUCCAACAGCAAAUCUAUUUCCAAAAUGAGUAUUAUAACAAUCUUUCUGAAUUCAAAAAGCCUAACUGAUGGAAGGUGCUUUUAAAAAAAAAUGAGUUAUGUUGAAAACUUUUAGUUAACAUUACAGAGGAUGUGGUUUAACCUGAAUCAUCAGUGCUCAAUACUGCAACCCUUGACACCCCUAUCCUCCUCCUAAGACCCCCUAAUGGGAAAGAGACAAGAAGGAAACAGAGUGAAACUUCAUUAUAAAAUACAUCUCAAAUUCAUUUCAUUUUUUCAGUCGGUUUCAUCGCCAUUAUCUUUUUUCUUUCUUUUUAGUUGGUAGGAACAACAAUAUUUUCAUUGCCUGUGGCUCAGUAGGAUUACUUAAGGCGAGUCCUUCAAAUUCUAAACUGGCACUUCAUUGAAAGGUGCAACUCCAAUUGUAAAAUCACCAAUCUUCCAUUAUGAUGAAGAUUGUCACAGAACCUCUAUAUUCACCAAUAAACAACACUGGCCAGUAAUGCUUCAUUAUGUCAACCUUUAUUUACUCGAGAGACUUGCAGAAUCAAAUUGGGAAUGUGCCUUUUUUCCUGUUGAGAAAAUUUGUCAUCAAUUUGCUGAGUAAUCCCACGUUGGUGCCGCACAGUAUUUGUAAUGUCCCCACAGAAUGCAUGGGCCUCUCCAAUGCUUGUACCUUUUAAUCUGGAUACUCCGAUUUUGUAUCAAAACCAACCAUCAUUUUUCAUCAUUGUUGUGUAACCUCACAUGCUUUUCAUUAUUGUUCCUGGACCAUGGCACUUUGUUAUUGUUGUUCUCAUUAUAAUGUUAAAUGUGCUUCUGUUGAGCUUGUAUUUGAGGCAUAUGCUAAGUGCUUUUAUGAUGGUUGAUAGAGAUUGCUAUGGCUUUACAUAGUACUCGGACCUCUCCACCUACUUGCUUUUACAAGUGACAAUGAUCUGGAUGCAGCGUUGCCUAAGCAGUUGUUACUCUGGAAACUGAAAUUAAGCUAAAUACAACAUAUUGGAUGUGAGAACUCAACAGUUUUCGUACAACUGACUCCUCGUAACAGAUGUGGAGCAUGCAGUAUAUUGUGAAGGGACAGCUGCAUGCAUGAUGUCUUGCUCCAUGAACUUGUAAAAGUCAAAACAAUCACUUAAUCCAAACACAAGAACCUGAAAAUUAGGAGGCAGUCAAGGAAUUACUAACUUCAAGAACCCAAAUGGGCAUAGAGUUCCCUUUUAUGUUGAAGGCUUUCUACUUCCUCGACCUAUAUUUAUAGGAUCACCUAAUGCAUGCAGAAAAUAUCAUCUUGUAUGUUUUUGCUAUGUAUCAUGCUUUCCUAAUAUUCCCAGAUUCAUAUUCAUGUUUGUUUGUGAUUUCAGAUCGUCUACGACCAUGACUUGUUUACCAAAGACGAUAAAAUGGGAGAGGCAGAGUUUGAUAUUAGGCCAUUCAUAGAGACCUUGAAGAUGAACUUGGCAGGGGUUUCAAGUGGCACUGUCAUCACAAGAAUACAACCGAGCCGGCAAAAUUGCUUAUCUGAGGAUAGCUGCAUUAUUUAUAGUGAUGGCAAGGUUGUUCAAGAUCUCUACCUCAGAUUAAAAAAUGUGGAAUGUGGUGAAUUGGAAAUCCAACUCCAAUGGAUUACCUUCCCUAGCUCGAGGGGCUUUUAAAGUUUAUGACUGUUCCUUUAUUUGCUUCCAAUCACAUGAUAUGGACAGGUUGCUUUCAAGCUUCUACCACCUGUGUGGAGAUCUAUCCACUGAUUUGCCUCACAAACUAACCUUUUAUGUACUUCUAUUACCUGUGUUCGGAUCAGGUUCUUAGCUCACGAUAGAGGAUUGAGCAGUUUAUGGUUCUUGUUCUUGAUAUGUAUCUAAAUCUGUAAAUACGCUUUGUGCUGGAAAUUUCUGAACUUCGCGAGUUUACCUGUUGAAAGCAUGAUGACAAGUAGAUAGGCCGAAGCAUGUUUAUUCAUUACUGGAACGUGUUUGACAGUACUUUAUACAAAAGAAGGAAGCUUGCGUUAUAUGUAUUUUUGGUGCAGUUUUGGCUGCAUAAUGUGCCGCACUACUUGCUUCUUACAUGCUUAUAUCCUGAGCACUCUUACAAUCCCACCGUACCACCAUAUUGGUGUUGUUAUUUAGCUAUCCUGACGUUGAGGAUCGGUGGACGCCCCUUAUUGUGCAGGAUCGUAUGCUUCCACUCAGACGGGCUUGUUUUGUAGGUGGGCUUUCGAAAUAUGGGCUUAACUCAGUUUUUGAUUGCCUGUCUGUAAGCCUAUCAACACUUGCACGCACCAAUUUGGGCCUUUUUGAGUUCAUGUUUAAUAUUAUGGUUGGGGGUUGAUAUUUAAAAUGUUUUUUAUUUAAAUAUAUUUAAAUAAUAUUUUUUAUUUUUUAAAAUUUAUUUUUAAUAUUAAUAUAUUAAAAUAAUUCAAAAAUACCAACUUCAUUCUGGAAACACUUUCAAUAUAGGUUGAGUUAGUUUUGCAGUAGCUCAAAUAUGACCUAACAAUAUAUUCUUUGAAUUAAUUUCUCUAUAUCGAAAUUAGGCUUCUUCAUGAUUGGAUAUUAAAUAAUUUAUUUAUAUUUUGAUCAGUAAAUUAUAUAUAUAUAUAUAUAUAUUAUUUUACACAGUAGGAUUUGUUACUUAACGAGAGAGAACGUAAAAAAAAAACACCCUACUUAUCAACAAUAUUUUUUUAUAAAUUAUUUGUUACCUCCUCAUAAUGUUGAUAAAGAAAAAUAAUUUUUUAUUUGUGUAACUUUUUCGAAAACCUAUGUAAUAUGAAAAGCUUUCGUGUCCAUGUUCUCAACUCUCACUACUUUAAUUUGUAAAUUAUUAUUUUUUUUAAAAAAAAAGCAAGCAACCAUCCUUCGAGUUUAUAUAUAUAUAUAUAUAUAUAUAUAUAUAUAUAUAUAUGAACUUGAAGGAACAACCACAAAUAACUUGAUCACACGUGUGCAUGCUUACAUAUUAUAUUUAUGUAUACGAAAUCCACUAGAUAAUUUAGUUUAGUUUAUCCUUCACACAGCCCCAUCCUCUCCUAAUUUCCAUGGUAAGGUCAAUAUAUUAUUUUUGAAAUUCCAUGGGAAUCCUUGCAGAAAAGAAACGUCCCAUUCUCCAACAAGGCAACUAGCUAGCGACCUUUGCCGGCUAUCCAUGAGAAACAAUACCAAGACCAAUAUCUGCAGAUCCUUUGCUUACAUUAAAGCAACUUUAUAGCUGAAGUUUGCCUUUUGUUCCAAGAAAAAAACAAUACAUGGGGAGUGUUCAUUCAAGUUGAGCAUGUGUGUGCAGAUUUCCUUCACCCUACUCAAUGUGCUUUUGCCUCUUUGUCUGUCUAAUUACCUGCCAAAUAAUGUAGCAUCUUUCCUGUCCACUUCUCUUCUCCUCUCCUCUCUCAUCUCCAUUUAUAUAUAAAAUUGGGGAAUUAGCACACAAAAUCAAAACAAUUGGCGAAUUGACAUAGGAGCAAAAUAUUUUUACAAAUAGUAUAUUUUCAUCUUAUCGCGCUUCAGAAACACGAUAUUUACUAAGGCCCCGUUUGUUUUGCUAGAAAGUAGUUUUUUUUUGUAAAGUGAAUUCCGGGAAAGUAUUUUCCACGCUUCUGAACCGCGACAAGAUAAAACUUAAAUUAUAUGGUUCAACUGGUUGAUCGAUUUAUAAUGGCUAGUAAAAUCAGUUGACCAGUUCCGAAAAUAACAAGGAAAAUCUCAAAACUACUAAAAUUGAGGGCCUCAGCAAGAUUUUUAAUAUCUAAAGAUCUAACAGUUCGCAUAGCGACGCAAUUGAUAUAAUAGGAAAAACAACUCUUGUAAAAACUUGAGCGCAAUUCAACAGUCAGAUAACAAGUUAUGGUAUUUUGAGCCGUUCUUUUGGUCUGGUGCGGUCAAAUCUCCUUUUGGGCUUAGACCUGUUUCACUGGUUCAUAAAUGCAUCUACCAGGCCAUCCACAUAAUUUAUUUGGGUCAGAUCCUCAUUUAGUUAUAACAGACUCACACCUGAUUGCUUAGAAUCACCUAUUAUUGCAAACUCAACUACAUCAUUGACAUUGAAAAAUAAAAGACAACUUGUAUGUUAACACUAACUUUUUGAGUCUAUAAGUUGGACAAAGAUAUAUAUUUUGACUCAAAAUAUAUUUGGAAGAAAAAGUUUAUUAAAUUAUGGUUUUUAAGUGAGAUGAUCAUUGUUUCAUACAACUAGAUCCAACCGGUCACCCAAUUGAGCCAAAUAGUUAGAGUUUCACCUUAUUGUGCUUUAGAAGUACGACAUUUAUUAUACGUUGCUAUUUUGAAGCACAACAACAUAAAAAUAUGAUAUUUCCCUAAAUCUUUCUUAAAUGGUGUUAUUCUACAAAAUAUUUUAAGAAACUCUGCUAAUUAUAAAAAAUUUCACAGUUAUAAACCACUUUCUUGGGUUAUAUAUUCGAUUGUGAAAAAAAAAAUAUGUAAAAGAAAUGAGCCACUAUUGAAAAAUAAAAUGUCCUGCAAAAGUGAUAAAUUCUAAUCUAGAACAAUUAAUAGGUUCAUUUUGCAAAUUUAAUUAUACUACCUACACCAAUUAUAUGUUGCAAAUGAUGAAUUCAUUGAAUUUUCUCUAUAAUUUAUGUAUCGAUUCUCACAAUGUGUCAUAUGCGAGGCUUAUGAAAGGAAAAAAAAGUAUAAUUGAGGAGAAAAUAGCUAAAAAUGUAAUUAUUCUAGAAGUGUCUCUAAUAUGUCUCUAUAUAUUUAAUUACUUCUAAUAUAUUUCUAAAUGAAUUUAUAUUGAUUUAGGAGGAAUUAAUGAAAUGUACAUCAAUUUAAUCAUGAAUCAACUUUGAUAAUGAUAGAGUGAUAAAUCAUGAUGCCUUUAUUUGAAUCAUUUAAAUAUGAUGCAAAAUGAACAUUGUUUUAUACAAAGAAGGUCCAUUAAAUGCUCCUAAUGACUUCAAACAUUCUUUAAUAAAGAUACGAAAAUACCAAAGGGUUCGAGAGAGGGCAACCCUAUAAAGAAUUUUGGCCAAAUCGAAAAUAUUAGCAAUCAUGAGAAAGGUGGGAGAACAAAGAAGAUAUUGAUUUAAGCAAGAUGCCUUUAUUUGAAUCAAAUCACAAUGGAAAAAACCACUAUACAAGUUAAAAAUGGAAAAUCACCUGUCACUUUUUCUACAAGGAGAAAAUAAAUAACCUGUUAAUAUAUCAUAUGUUAAUAUUUAUAUAUUUAAAUAAAAAAUAAGAUCUUAUUUUUUAAUCCUAAAUCAUUAUCAUUUUUUACAUGAUCCAAUAAUUUAUAGAAAAGACUUUCCCUUGUAUGUACAAAACGAGCUUAUUAUUUGCCUUCGUCAUUCUAUAAGUCUCUUUUUUUUUGUGGAUGACAUUAUCAUUUUCUCUGACAAUAUCUAUUAAUUUAGAAUUUAAUUUGGAAAUCAUAUUUUGACAUGGGCACUUGUAAACCUACUUUCAAUGCCAGAAAAUUAGGAAAUACAAACGGUAAUACUGAUGGAAUUUUUUUCAUCGGUAAAUUGUGGUGAAAUUUCUCGACAAAAUAUUUUCUCGCAAUGUCCCUCAGUAUACACUGAUGAAUUUUUUUUGUCGGUGUAUACUAGUGGAGUUACAAUGAGAAAAGAAGGAAUGAAAAAGAAAAAGAAAAUGAUGUAUCAAGCUUACAAAAUAAAAUAUUGACGAAAUAAACUUAUCGCUACUAUCCAUCGGUAAUAUUUAAGUUAUGAACUAGCAGCGGCCCCCCUCUCCCAUUUCUUUUUCUUCCUCCAUUUUUCUAUGCAAAUAACAGUAGAACCCCCCUAUUUUAUCACAAAUCAAACUACCAUCACCAUAAAUCCGACCACCCCAACAGUCAGUCUAUCAACAUCCUUGUUCUAGUUCAAUUUUUUUUUUAGAAUUCCUCACAUUAAGUAAGCAAAACUACCCAUUUUUUGUUUGAAAUCAAUUUUAAAAUGUUAAUUUUAAUGGCAUUUUAAGGUAAUAUAUGUAGUUUGUUUGUGUGUUUACUUGUUUUAUAGCUUUUUUCAUAUAAAUUUGUUAUAUGAAUGUAUGAUUUGUACAUGUUAAGGUUUGUUUUAUAUCUUAAAAAAUUAUAUUUGUUUGUAAUUUGAUAAAAUCGAUUUCGAUUUUGUGACUUAGGUUUUUUGUAAUGAAAUAAAUAAUAACUUAUUUAAUGGUUACGUUUCAUAUUUUAUCAAUUUAAUUGUUGAGUUGAAGAUUUUGGUAAAUGUGGAGGAAUUUGAAUUUUUGUAGAAAAUUAAUAAUGAUUUAGGCCCCGUUUGUUUGCUGGAAAGUAGUUUCCUUUUGGAAAGUGAAUUUCAGGGAAAGUGAAUUCCGGGAAAGUAUUUUCCGAUGUUUGGUAGUGUAAUGGAAAAUAAGUUGGAAAACAUUUUCCAGUGUUUGGUUAUGUCAUGGAAAAUGAGCUGGAAAAUAACUUAUUAAUGUUUUAUUUUUCUCAAGUUUAUUAAAAUAAUGAGGAACAAAUCUUACAAAUUAAAAAGUUGAAUGAGAAUGAAAUUGAAAAAAAAUAUAAUUUCAUAAAUUAUCUCAAAUAAAAUAAAUAAUAAUCAAAAUAAUAGAGAUCAAAUCUAAAAAAUUAAAAAAAAUAAAAGGUGAAGAAAUUAAAAUAAUAAUAAUUAACAUUUCAUAAAUUAUUUCAAAUAAAAUAAGUAACAAUCAAAAGAAUGAGGACCAAAUUUGAUAGAUAAAAAAUUUCAAUAAAAAAAUGAUAAGGAAAAAGUAAAUAGCAAUUAUAAAAAUAAGGACCAAAAUUAAUAUAAAAAUUAAAUUUUAAGAGAUGGAAUAGAAAAAUAAAUAUUCAAAACAAAUUAUAUACAACAAUCAAAAGUUUGAGGAUCAAAUUUGAUAUAAUCAGCAAAUAAUGACAUUUCUAAAUUUUUCACAACUUCCGGAAAGUGUUUUCCGCCCAAAUUUUCCAGGAAAACACUUUCCUGAAAACCAAGCCAAAUUUUCCUUUGACUGGAAAGUGUUUUCCGUUGACCAACUUUUCUAAUGGCAAACAAACACAGGAAAGUUUGGAAAGUGGUUUCCCGGAAACCACUUUUCGGAAAACAAACACAGCCAAAAGGGAAAACACUUUCCUGAAAAUCAAACCAAAUUUUUCUUUGACUGGAAAGUGUUUUCCGUUGACCGAAAAGUGUUUCCGUUGACUGGAAAGUGUUUUCCGUUGACCGGAAAGUGUUUUCCGUUGACCAACUUUCCUAAUGGCAAACAAACACAGGAAAGUUUGGAAAGUGGUUUCCCGGAAAGUGAAUUCCGGGAAACAAACAUGGCCUUAAGAUUAUUAUUAUAAUACAUUGAAUAAGUUUGAGUUAAACCAAUACUAGCUAAUUUAUUUAGUUCAUAUAAUUAAUUAAUACAUGUUGUCAUCAAUAUUUUAUAUAGAUUUGAUAUAAGUAAUGGAUGAUCGUUCUUGGAUGUAUUGAGUUUCACCUUAAGGGCUGUGCAGAAUGGAUUAUUGUAAUGUGGUUGAGGGUUUUAUUAAUUACGCACUAUCUAUCCAAUAAUUAUUAGUGGAGAUGAUAUUAGAUAUCCAUGUAAGAGGUGUAAGAAUAAAAAGUUUCUCGAUCCAGAUGUUGUAACGAUGCAUAUUCUACAAAAAUGAUUAAUGGAGAAAUACUUAUAUUGGUUUGCACAUGAAAACCAUAUGUUCCUUACGAGAUCAUGAUAGAAAGGAUGAUUCAGUCAACUUUUAGUUUUAUCAACAUGCAUGAAGUUAUAGACGACAAUAGUAAUCAUUAUAGGAAUAUAGUUAUAGAUGCGAUGUGAAUGAAUCAGAGUUACUUAUAUGAAAGAACCAAAUGCAAACGCGACCAGAUUUUUUGAUCUUUUAAAAGACUUUGACAAACCAUUAUAGGAUGAGUUCAUGAUUAGUACUUAAAAGUGAAUUCUCAUUAAGGCUUUAUAUCAUCGUAUUGCACUAAAGUAUCAUUAAAUUCUAUAACUAAAACAUGUUUUAUAAUAACAAGUUUGAUAAUAUAAUAUAUCUUUAAUUUAUGGUAAAUGCUUAUUUUGAAUGCAGGUAUAUCUCACAAUUCAAAGAAUUGAUUGAUGUGAUUAACUAUUGAAAUUAAGAAGACAAAGAAAGGGCUAAGAAAAGAGAUGCUGGUUCAAACUGGAACACCAUUCAGUUAUUGGAUCAUAACUAAAGUUGUAGACCUUGGAUUUAGGUCUGCUUUAUAUGGAUGGAAAGCUAAGAUAUAGACCUAAAACUUUCAUGAAGAGUCCAAGACUCAAUUCUGCCAUUUUCAAGUUCAAAUCUUAGCAACAACGAAGAAGUCAGAAUCUGUCCUGCAGCUCAGACACUGUUUGGUUUUUAGCUCAUAUCUUGAGUUCUAGAAGUUCAAAUGAGCUCUGUUUUUUUUUUUUUUUUGAAAGCUAAGAUAAUUGCCCACAACUUUUAUGGAACAUAGGGCUUAAAUUCUGAUGUUAGCAAUGAUGUUUUGGCCAGCCAACAAUAUUAAUAAUCAGCCAACAAUAUCAAUAACCAGCAGGCAACAAUGUCAAAAACCAGCCACCAAAUCAAUGGUUGGCCACCAACCAUUUUCUUAGUCAACCAAUCAAUAGUUCUGAAUCUUAGCCUAUAAAAAGAGGCAUUUGCCAUGUAUUUAGUCAUCUUGGUUUUCAGGUCAAGAUCAUAUUCUUGCUUUCUUUCUUUAUAUCUUUGUAAUAUUCAAGUUUUCUUUCAUGCUAUAUUAAUCUCUUGUUUAUGCUUUUUCAUUUUCUUUCCUAUACUUAGUUAACUUAUAUCAUGUUUAUGUUCUUAUAUUGUUUAUUUAUGUUUUUCUUAUUCUUAAUGUUUAGCUAAGUUUAUAAUGUCAAGGUGAAAAGGUUUCACUAAUAGUGUUAAAAUAGGUAUAAUAUAAACUCAACAUGGACUUCAAUGUUUAUAUCCAAGAAAGUUUGCUAUUAACAUGUCUUAUCUUUUUAUCUUACUAAUUCUUAAUACAUUGCUUGUUAAAUGGUUAAUAUAGAUUUGUGUUGUAUAACACUUGGUACAUCAAAUGCUUGACCCUUCAUAGUCUUCAACAGACAUCGCUAUUAUGAUAGGAACUUGAUUUGUUAUUAACAUAAGCUAGCAAGAUGAAUGCCUGAUGAUAUUUAUAAGUAUGGUGUUACUUAGAUAAGAUGAUUAAUAUGAUUAUGUUAAUACUUUAUAAUGAGCUAAUAACGAUAAAUCAUCCGAUUGAAACCUCCUUUAUGUGUGGUUUUCAGUUGAGUAAUAAAAAGAGUUUAUAUUAUAUUUAUUUGAAAUACCAUUAGUGAAUCUUCUAACCUUGACAUUUGUUUUAUCAUCACAUCCCAAAACUCGCUUCAACUUCUUUUUUGUUAUUAUUCUCUUCCUUAUAAGAAUAUAGUUAUAGAUGCAAUAUGAAUGAAUCAUAGUUACUUAUAUGAAAGAACCAAACACAAAUGUGGUUAGACUCCUGCACUUGGGAUAAGACAUCAACUCUUUGAUCGUGUCAGUUCACAAAUCACAAUAAAUUAUCAGUCAUUGCACAGGUGUUCACCAUCAAGUUAGAGCAUAGGUUGGGUGAGAUCGGUUAUGACAGAAUUGUCGAAUGCGCAAGAAAUAUUUUACCUGAAAGGAAUAAGCUGAAAGAGAACUUCUAUACUACUAAAUCCAUGAUGAAACCUCUUGGCCUAGGAUACCAGAAAAUUAGCAUGUGUCCAAACUUCUGCAUGUUGUACUAUCUUGAAAAUGCAGAUUUAACCGAGUGCAGAACCUGUGGGCAUGCUCGUUAUUAACCUAGAACUGGCAAGGAAAUGACUUGUCGCACAUAAAAAGUUUAGAUACUUCCUAAUCACUCCAUUAGAGAUGUGUAUGAGGUCGGAGUUCAUGUUUUUAUCUACGGUCAUACCCGAUUCUAAUAGUUCGAGUUGAAAUAUAGAUGAUUUUUUUUUUAUUGUUGAUUGAUAAGUUGAAGCAAUUGUAGUCAUCUGAGAUUUUGACUUAUGAUGUCUCGAGGAAACAAAAUUUUAAGAUGAAGGUAACUUUGAUGCGAAUUAUCAAUGAUUUUCCUGCGUAUAGAAUGAUUAGAGCACACAUGAAAAAUUAACAUGUCUAUAUUGUAUGGAAAAUAACAAGGCUUUCACCUUAAAAAAUAGUGGUAAAACAUUUCUUUUAUUGCUACUAGAGGUUCUUGUCAACCGAUCACUAGUACAAAAAGAUCAGAAAAGACUUCUUUACUGGUAGAGUUAAAGUGAUGUUGCAUCACUGGUUCCGUUGGGUAAACAUGCAUCCUAAUAUGGUAUUGUAGUACGAUGACAUUGUGUUUGGUUUUCAAUUCAGUAAGCAGAAGUUUCUUGAUUUUGGUGUGACCUAUAAGAUGCAUGUUAAGACUUUGAUAUGCGAGGUUUAUAUUGUUAAAAAGAUCUCAACAUUUAUCUUGUAUUAUUUCGAGUCUUAUUUGAGAACAAAAAUGCACCGUGUUCUAAGACAUGAUGACGAUGGAGAAGUACCUUUGAGUGAGAACUUUUUAAUAUUUUCCCAUCUUGGAUGAUCUGUACCCAAAAAUACAUUGAGGAGAAGAUAUUUGACAAAAACUGAAUUCAAACAUGUAUAUAAUUAUGUGUUAUGUGAUUGCGAUAAAUUAAGACAUUUUAUUCAGUAAGUACAAUAAUUAACAUGUUGUUAUUUUCUAAUAUUUUUUUAUCUUAUACUCUCACUGACAGAUUGAAUAAUUCAUCGUAGAAAACAUCAUCAAUUUUUACUAUUUCAAAAUUCACAUCAGACUGAAUCUCAAAUUUUUCAAUUACAAGAUGAAUAAUUUACCAUGUGCUUUAGAACACAUGUAAGCACUCUUUAAUUAUUCUUAUCUCUUGUAAUAUUUAAUUUCAUUACACCUUUUUGUUUAGCUUGUUAAUGGUUAUAAUCUGGGGAGGAAUGCUAGCGGUAUUUUGAAUUUAAUAUGUUUAGUUCCCGAAAAAAAGAUUAAGUGUUAUAACAUGUAUUUCAUCAAUAAACAUGUCUUCUCAUACUAAAAAGCAUGAGCAAAGUAGAAAGACAUAUAACAAUGGAGUUUAUGUUAAGAGAUUGACUUAUGAUGAGUUUGAAGUUGACUAUUAUGGGAAGUUAGAAAACGUGAUUGAAUUGCAAUGCCAACAAGUUUGGUUUGAUAGUCUUUUUUACUCAAAUGUUAUUGAUUUGAUACAACUGAUAGAGGGAUUAGAGUAGAUCCAUAUCAUGGUUUGGUCGAAAUUAGUACAAAGGCUAGACCUUGUAAUGUCGAUGAUGUCUUUGUUUUCGCCAAGUAAUGCCAACAAGUUUAUUACACAUACACUCUUUUCUUUAGAAAUAAUUGUUCUAAGGUUGAUUGGUUGUCUAUAGUGAAAACCAAACCUAGGGUUCGUGUUCAAUUUGUUCAGGAUAGUAACGAUGAAGUCACUGCAGGAGAUGAUGUCUUUUAACUUAAUAAGUUAGUUAAUUCAUAUCGAGUUGCUUUAUCUAUUGACUUGGAAGAAAAUUCAAAUUUUCACAUCACUAAUAAUACUUUUGUUAAUGUUGAUGCUAAGGAGUUGAAUGAUAUAUUGAUAACCAACAGACAUACAAAAGUCGAUGAAGAUGAUGAUAUUGACGAGCAGCAAUUCAAUAUAGAAGAUUAUGGUGGACAUGACGAUGAUGAAAAUAAAGAAGAAGAAGAAGAAGAAUACAAUUCGAGUUAAUUUGUCAAACAUCAAUGCCUUAUAAACAGAUUUUAAUGUAAUAUAUCUUGGUUGUUCCUUUACAAAGACAUGGAUUUAUUAUUACAUGACAAUGAAAUAAUCAUUUUUAUGAUUUUAUUAUUACAAACAUAAAUGGUGUUAUUGUAUUGUGAUUUUACUGUAUAUGCAGGAUGAAUAGAUAUGAAAUACAACAAUUCAAGAAAAACAAUUUUUUUAUACCGAUGGAAUCACUGACAGUUGUUCAUUAUAGAUGGAACCACCAACGGAUUAACUUUAUUGGUAUGUUCCAAAGAGUUGGAAAAACAUUACACCUUCAUGCCAUUGACUAUUAUAGAUGGAAUGACCGACAUAUUAACUCCAUCAUAAAGUUCUACAGAGUUAAAAACAUUGCACCGCCAUGCCAUCGACCAUUACAUAUGGAAUCAUCGACCAUUACAUAUGGAAUCAUCGACGGAUUAACUCCAUCAAAAAGUUUCAGAGAGGUGGAAAAAAAUUACACUCAUAUGCCAUUAACAACUACCGACUAAAUCACCGAUAAACUGAAAAUGCAUUGAUGAUUUUAGGUUGAAUUGAUAAUUUAAUUCUUAAUUACAAAUGAAAUUACCGAUGAAAAUUAAAAAAAUAAUAUUUUUUUAAUGUCUGUCAGUAAAAAAACCCUAAAUAAAAGAGCAAAAUCCCUAACUUUGGAAUACCAACCCGUCUUCUCUCUUCCUCUCAAAGUAUCUCUGCAUCUUCUCCCUUUCUUCUCUCUCUGUCACUGUUAUUUUCCUCUUCUUAUUCCCUCUCAUUCUCUUCGUUUCUCACUCCACCCUCACGUGAGAACCCUCCACACAAGGUAAAUCUCUUUAUUCUUUAUUUUUUUUUUGUCAAGGUUAAUGGGUUAAUUAAUUUUUUUUCACUCUCAAUCUCUUCCCCUCUCACACCAUCAAGGUCCUUCACCCCAACUAGGAGAAAACUUCUAAGUUAAUCUCCUUUUUCUUCCUUUUUUUUAUUAAAAGAAUUGUCAUUGUGUUUUUACGAAAUAUAAUUUUUGUGGCCAAACUUAUAAGCCAAGUAGUCAAAUCUCUUAGCUGAUUUUCAUAAUUUUUUUUAAUAUGAGAUAUUUUGUAUAAUUAAUUAUCAUUUUUCAUUGUUAUUUUUUAUGGAGUUUUGGCAAGAUGCUAACCUAUUAUAGUAGAUUUUAAUCCUAGAUGAGAAAAGGGAAAGGGAUGGAAGUGCAUUUUGGGUAAAAGAGAAAUUUGUUUUAAAUUAAGUAAAAUUUUAUUUGAGGUUAUAUGUAUUUUAUUUGUUACAGUGAGUAAUUUAGGUUAAUUUUGUUUCAUUAAUUAAUAUACAAAUAAUUUGUUGGUAGAAAACAUGUUUAUUUUAAAAAUAAUUUAAAAUUACUUGUAUAAAAUUAAUUUUAAUUUAAAAAUGUAAUGAAAUUCAAUAGAAAAUCAUUGCAAGUUGCUUGUUAUGCAAUGCAUAGGUGGAAAAAUGUAUUAAUAUACAAAAUAUAAUUUUUUUGAUGGAGUUAUGAAAAAAUUAUAAAAAACUUGUUAAAAUUGGCCAAAUUGUUAGUUUAUAUAAUUUUAGGAAAUUUUAGAAAUUAACCAAAUUGUUAGCAAAACUAAUACCUUUGUUGAUUCCUCACAUUUUUAUGGGGUUCUUUUUUUAUUUGGUAAUCGAUAGGAACAAUAACUUGUCUUACAUAAAAUCAAUUGGUUUAUGACUACAUAUUAUUGAUGCGUGUUUACACGUUGUUAAAUUAUGGGUAGUCUGUUGUAUAGGGAAGGUGCUGCUGAAUUGUUUUUAAAAUAGGAAUGUUAAUCUUUUUUAAUCAUUUAAUUUGUGUAGAUGCCGAGGGAAAAAUUGAUUGCGAGUCAUAUGGACAUAAGCUCUUCUAGUUCUUUUAACAGUGUUUCUGGCCACCAUGAAUUGUUAGGUGCCGAUCAUAAACAGAUCCCUGAGGCACAAGCAACCUCUAUCAAUGCAGGCUUGUUGAUUGCGAUGUUGCCUUGUUGAGAGGGGUCCAUUCAUGGCGGGAUGUAUAAGCUGGGAAGUAUGUUGCCCAGUGGAAGUCUGGCCAUUUAAUGUAAGUUUGUUUUCAUUUCUUGCACGAUUAGAAAAUAAAGAAUAGUUCAUAUUUUUUAAAAAUAAAUUUCAAUUAACGAAUUUAAUUUUAGGUUUACAAAUGUUGAGGCUACCCACACAACAACAUUCGUGAUGAAAGUGCAAUUUUUUCAAUGGAGUCAUGUUUUCAAAAAUCUUUAAUGAAAACCCAUGAUUGAUGUUUGGUUCGUAAAGUUCAAGGUUAGCAUAUACUUAAGCAAUUUUUUAUGUUAAUUUGGUUAGUUUAUUAAUUUUAAUGAACUAAUUUGUUUACAAAUUUGACGUUCAAGGAAAAGUUUUGCUAGGAUAGGGCUGACAACGAUGUUGCUAAGAGGGUUUAGGAGAAUCACAAUGUAAUUAGGUAAGAUUGAAUUUAAUUUGUUAAUUUAUUUUAUUUAAAUAUUAAAAUUCAUUUUUCAUAUCUUAACCGAUAAUUCAUUUCUACCUUAUAGGUUGCGUGAUUUUUGGUAUAAAACGCAAAAAAAAAUGCUAAAGAAAAAGGUCUUACAGGUUGGAGAGACGUGGUGGUUUGGAGGGGUUUCAGACCACCACACGUCCCGGAGGCUAUAUGGGCAGAUAAAACCCAGCACGUGAUGUCCAUGCGUUUCGUGCGACACUCGUAGUCUUGUGUUGAGACCCAAAACAAGGAAAUUCAUGGUUCAAUUACCACUCAUACUGAGGGAUCCAUUCUGUUUGUUUUACAUGCGAAGCGGAUGAUAAUAUUCUUUUUUAUUACAUCCAUUCUUUUAAAAAAAUUGUUGUUUUAUAUAAAAAUGUUUAACUAAUAGUAGUUUUUUUUGUAGGCUACAACUUUUAGACGCGAACCAAGACUGAUGAAUUUUUUUUAUAGAAACUCACAUGCGAAAUGCUUACCGUUGAAAGGGGUAUAACAACUCAUUGAUAACUGAGCUUUGAAGUUCAUGGUAAGUUAGAUUUCAACAAUGUUUUUAAUUAAGUUAUUUUUAAGAAUUUGUUGACGUGUUCUUUUUUAUUUUUUCAGGAAACAUGUAAUACUGAUGGAAUAAAUCCCUCAAAAAAUUACAGAAAGUUUGAAAAAAAGUACAAUAAAUUCCAUUGACAACAUGUACUCGUCGAUGGAAUUACAAAUAGUACUUCUAUCGGUGAUAUGACAUACUCACCGAUGGUAUUACCGACGGAAUGAUACCAACAACUUUUUUUUGUUUGACAUGCUUUGUCCAUCUAUAAUUCUAUCAGUGAUAAUAUCAUCGACGGAAUGUCUCAAAAAAUAAAAAUCACCAACGAUAAAUUUUUUUUGAUUAACAGUAACCAUCUGCGAUUUCAUCAUUAAAAGUUUUUCCAACAAAAUCAGUGUCUAAAUACUGAUGGAAUAAUCCAUCAACAAAAUAUAAAAUUCUGGUAGUGUUUAAGAUAAGUGCUCUCAGUUAAAAAAAAACAUUAAUUUAUUUAUAAUACUCCAUCAUUAGAUUAAGAGUCAUCUAAUUGAACUUGAUAUUUUAUUCAAAAGAGAUUAUAUAUAUGAAAAAGAAGUCACUCUUAUUAUCAUUCUACAAAAUCUAUUUAUAUAUGUGUUUGUGUAUGUGUAUGUUAUAUUUAGAUAUUUAUUAAUAUUUCUUUUUACCAAAUGUAAUAGUUUUUCAAAGAUGAUAGUUAUAGAUAUGAGGUCUUUUUAUUUAAAGAUGAUAGUUGUAGUAACGUUUGUAACAUACACAUACACGAGACAUCGAGGCAAAUUAAAAAGGUAAAAAUAAAAUUAAAAAGUAAUUUUUUAGUUUUGUGAUGACUAAAAACCCUAACUGGUCUUUAAAAUUUUAAAUAAGGGGUUGAUUAUACAAGAGAGAAGAUAAACAUCACCUUAAAACAUCAAAUUUUAAGUAAGUUGCAUUGUGAUUGUUUUUAAUAAUAAAAUACCUAUUGUACUCGUGCUAAAUUUAGCCUAAAAUGGUAUGUGUAUUCUUAUGAAAAAGCAUAAUUACUUUUUAAAAGAAAAUGAUGGGUGUUAGACUUACGAAUUAGACUUUGAUUUUGCUUGAUGAGUCAUGCCUAAGGUCUUUUGGAGUCGCGUUGACCUAACCUGAAUUCACUUGUAAUGAUGGUGUCAUAUACUCGCACAUGAUAAAUUUUAAAAAAAAUUUGCACACAUUGAUGACACAAUAAAAACAAAAAGUAUUUACAAAAAAAAUAAAAUUAAUAUGGUAUUUUUUUUUUAAGAAAACAAAUGUUAUCACCAUAAGAGCAACAUUGCCGAUAAAAUAACAAUUUAUUAUAUGAAAAAAAAUGUGAAUGAAAAGAGAUUUUCAGCUCAUAAAUCAAAUUCAUAUAUAUAGCUUUGAAAACAAAUGAUUUUUUAAAUUUCAAAAAGCAAAAUUAUUCGAGUGAUCGCCUUACCUUGGGUUUAACCUAAAUAAAAAAAAAUUUAAUUUUAUUAUAAGAAAAUAGCAAAAUUCGAUUACUGUUGUUGGAAGGAGAUAAAUGGUUGUCUUGGUUCGGGUUCAAUGAAGGAGAUCAGGUUGUUAGAGGCUAAGGGCUAUGGCUGAAGGAGGUUGUGUUUUAUGGUUCUUGGUGGAUCUGUGGUGGAGGAGAAGAAGGCGACUGUAGUGGGUUGGUUUGCUCAGAAAAAAAAAAUGACAGUGGCAAAGAGGAGGAGAUUUGAUUACUUUUGACAAUGCAUGGAAGAGAGAUGGAACCGUGGUUGUGGAGGUUUUGUUGGCUAUGGAGGUGUGUGGUGGUUGGCUUGAGUAAGGGAAAUCGUGGUAGUUUUGAUGGAAGGGAUAUGAAAGAAAGAAAAGGCUAGAGUCUUCACACACACACACACAUACACACACACACACACACACACAAUUAUUUUAUUUUUUAUCUCUCUCUCACUGUUUUUUUUUUUUUUUGGUGGAAAGGGGGGUUCUCAUUGUGUUUUAUGUUCUCUUGGUGUUUUUUAUUAUUUUUAUUGUGAUCUCUUUAUUUAUAGUGUUUAUUUUUCAGUUUGAUUUUUUUCUUAAAUUUUUAUCACAUGUGUGUGGUAUCGCGGCGAAUCGUCCACCCUCCAAGAAAAUAUAAAGGGUUACAACAACUUUUUAUCUUCUGAUUUUUUUCUUCAUCUCUAAUUUUAAAUUCUUCUGUCUUUUACGUUAGAAAUUCACUUUUUCUUUAAAUUUAUUUUUUUAAAAUUUUAAAUCCUGAUUAUUUGAAAAAUGGGUCUAAAUUUUAUUUUUGGCCCCUUUGUUUUUCUUUUCUAAAAUUUUUAUUUUCAAAAUAUAUUAUAAAAAAGGUAAAGAUUGAGUUAUGAAAAUACAUCUAUCAAAUAUCUAUAAGAUUCUAUUCUUCAAUCAUUUUUUUUAUAUAAUUAAUAUUUUAACAAUUAACAGUUAACCCCAACUUUUUUAACUUCAAAGCAAACACAACUUUAAUCAAAAGACAAACAAUGAUGGCUUUAAAUUACCUUUUUUCCAUGAGUGCUUGUAUAAAUAUUUUACUAUAAAAAAAACCCGGUUUUCCCCACUGUUCUAUUCACCUUUCAAAUCAUUAGAGUUACUCGUUCACCUAGUGUGAGAAAAAAAAAAUAAAAAAAAAAAGAAAAAGAAAAAAAAAGGCAGAGAAAAUGACUCAUGCCAUCGAAAUGUUCUUUGAUCUCUUUGAAUAUUUACUUCAAGAGAUGUAUAUGGAUUCACCUCUAGGUAUCACUUGGCUAUAAAUUAAUGAAUUAAAAAAAAAAUUCAUAUGAAAAAACUGAAUCCCUUGUAGUAGUUUCAUAUGAAAAUUCAAGAGAUGUAUAUUGAAGUAAAUAUUCAUUAUGUAAUAAUUAAAAUCCAUUUAUCCGAUUUUUUCAGAACAAGUCAUUCAUAUGAAAAAAACUGAAUCCCUUGUAGUAGUUUCAUAUAUUUUUUAUAAGGGAAAAUAAUAAUUUUAUUAAUGUUAAAUAAAGUAGAGAUAAAUUACUUCUUUCACAUUAUAUCUAGAGAAAUUAUAAAUUGUUUGAAAAAAAUAAUCAACAAUAUCAAAUGGUUUUUUAGACAACUUAUCACUUCAAUUAUUUAGAAAAUCAAAAACCUCCAUUAAAAGCAUCUUCAAUUAAAAAAAUCAUUUUGAAGAGCUAAAUUGUCCGUGUAGCAUUUUAAAUAGUUUAAAUAUGAUUUUUAUUCUUGUAUACAAUUUAAUGGUAUAAACUAUUUAGAAAAGUUUAAUUGUUAAUAUGGUAUUUUAACCCAAAAUUUUGAAAACUCAAAGCUAAAAAAUAAUAAACUUGUGCAUUUAAAACCCAAAAUUUAAGUACAAUAAGAGUAAAAAAACUGAAAACCGAUUAAACCAAGAAAACCGGAAAAAAAAUAACUGAAAAAACCAAACCGUGAAAAACAACAGAUUAAACCAAUUAAAAUUUUGAAAAACCGACCGGUUCAGUUUCGGUAAACCUGAAAUCGAAAAAACCAAACCGAACCCAAACCGAAAAAAACCGAGCCAAAACCAAAAAAACCAAGCCAAAUCAAGCAAAACCGAAAAACCGAGCCAAACCAAUUUGAACCGGUUUUUAUCCAAAAAACCGAACCGAACCGAAAUUCAUCGGUUUGAACUGGUUUCAGUUUUUUUAAUUUUUUUUUAUUUGGUUAUUUUUUUUUAUAAAAACCGAAUCGAACCGAAAAUAAUCAUCUCUAAGAUCAACUAUUUUUUAGCUUUUCUAAAAAAACAAAACUUGUAGAAAUAGCUUUUCGGAAAGGAAAAAGCUAUUUUACAUUCUCUUUUAGCACUUUCAUUGGACUGAGUAAAAUAAAAAAGAAAAGCUAAUUUGGCAAUUAUUUAGUUUUAGCAUUUCAUUUACCUUCAAUUCCUAGAUAUCAAUCUUAUUCUUCCAAUAAAAAAAUAACUAUUUAAAGUAGAAAAAUCACAACAAACGAGGAGAUAAAUUAGGUGCUUUAUAUAUUUUUUUCUGUAUAAUUUAAAUCAUAGAUACAAGAGCCUUAUAGAUAAGUACAAAUUCUAGAUUUAUAGAUACAAGUGCUUUAUAUACAUUAAAAAAAAAAAAAGGUUUUAAGGAUAUUUUUCAAAGCGAAUGUUUCCUUUCUCUAGCUAGCUAGCCAUAAUGUUUAUUAAUAGAAUUCUUUUUUCUCUAAAAUUUCAUAAGUGAAAUGGUAUGGACAGGGAGAGGCAUUUAUGAUUUAGCAAUAGGGUGAUUAUUUUUUAUUCGGUUUGGUUUUUAUCAAAAAAAUAAUUAAACCGAAUUUUUUUUUAAAAAAAUCGAAACUGGUUCAAACCGACCGAUUUAGGUUCGUUCGGUUUGGUUUUUUUGGACAAAAACCAGUUCAAAUCAGUUUGGCUCGGUUUUUUCAGUUUGGCUUGGCUUUGAUUUUUUUAAAAUUUUAAUUGGUUUAAUCGAUUUUUUUUUUAUAAUUUGAUUUUUUCAAUUAUUUUUUUUCUGGUUUUCUCUAUUUAAUUGAUUUUUUGAUUUUUUAGCUUAGCAGCAUCAUUUCAAGAGAGGGCACGUGGCAUGCAAUUUGAGAAGGGAUGCCUCGUAUAAUCAAGGCAGUGUAAUUAAGGAGACGUGUGAUAUUAAUUGGGAGUGGUUAUUAAUACUUCAUUUAAAAUACUAACUUAAUUACAAAAUUUGAGGGCAUGGCCCCUUCCCAAGUAUCAUAUGUUUUAUAUUUAGCUAAAGGGUCUUGCUAACAAAUUAAUGUACCUUUCAAAUAUAAUUAAUCUCUUUAAUUAUUGUACUUCACGUUUAACUAAUUACAAGUGCUAUUAAUCUCUUUAAAAAUAUAAUUGUAUUUUUAAUAUUUAAUAUAAACUUAUUAAUAACGUACCCUUUUCCAUAUAAAAAUAUCCUUCUUCGCAUAAAUCACUUUUUUUAAAAGUUAUUCUCACAAAUCAUUGUACUUUCCUUAUUUCUAACAUUUUUAUUAUUACUUUGUUCAUUUAAUUAUUCUUUAUAUUUCUUUGCAAAAAGUAAAGAAUAAAAGAAUACUGAUUUUCAUGUUGAUAAAAAGUUUCCAAAAAAUCUAUAGAUCAAGGAGAUGAAUUAAAUUGAAACCUACAAAAAAUGAAUGCUACAUGCUAUCAUUAAAGUAAAAAUAAAUAAAUAAAUAAAUAAAUAAAAAAUAAUUAUCCUAAGCUCACCUCCAUGACAAUGGAUAAUAGUUAGCUCCAUUAACUACUUCUUAACACUUAACAAGUACCCCUUAGACACCCGUUAGAUUUAUCCUUAGGGGGGGGAAAGACCUUGAAGAAACUGAUAUAUAUAUAUAUAUAUAUAAUGAAAUUUAAAUUCAAUAUUCUAGAAAUUAAACAAUAUUUCAUGUGAAGUAAUUUAAAACUUUGUGAACAAGAGAAAUUAACCUCUCUAUUAGAAACAUUAAAGGUAGAUGGUCUAAUUAUCUAGUAGGUGGUCAGUGGUAAGAGUUUGGAAUCAAGAUGUUUGUUUUUUCUAUAGUCUCAGGUUCGAGCCCUGUGGUUGCUAAUAUGAUGGCCACUGAAGGUUUACAUGGUCGUUAACUUCAGGGCCCGUAAAAUUAGUCGAGAUACACGCAAGCUGACCGAACACCCACGUUCAUAAUAAUAAAAAAAAAAUAGCUAACAUUACCAAGAGAUAAGACUGGAAACAAAAGGAGUUGAUCAAUUAAAUUAAUAAAUUGCACGCCCCUUAUACCCUUUUAGAAAACAUAAACCCUAUUGCAGUGCGUGCAAAUUAAGCAUGGUGUUUAGGGUUUUUGAGUUUCAAAGAGAGUUAUGAGGGCUGACACGCCAAUCUUUGUCCUCGUUUUGCUUUUCAUUCCCCGCCCAUAAUCCCUCUCUUCCCUUUCAUCAUUAGCAUAAAUGCAUGCUUCUGUGUUUUUAUGCCUUCAAGGCACUAAAUCAAUUAAGUUUCCUAACUUUUAUAUUAUUUUUCCUUGCCAUUAGUUAGCAAGAAUAUAUUAAAUUAGAUCCUCAUGUGUGAUUAACCUUAUUUUAUUUAUUAAAAAACGAAGUAUAUAUUAUCUGUAUUGCAAGAUAUGUUUUAGACGCUGAUUCUUUUCGAGAUGCUAAUAGAAUACCAGAGAAUUAUUUAUGGAUUUAUUUAUUUAUCUGAGCACAGAGUAUUUUGCUUCAAUAUUUCCUCUUGGACUCUGUUCCGUGAAAUAUAAAUAUCCUAUAGUAUAUCAAGAUACUAUAUUUAUAGUCGCUUUCAAAUGGUUGGAAAAUUGAAAAAUAUUAAAUAGCAAUAAAUACUGUGAAAUUAUGAAACAUCAGCAUGUAUAUAUAUAUAUAUAUAUAUAUAUAUAUAUAUAUAUAUAUCAUGUUUUCCUUCACAAUACUAUAGUAAUUCUUCUAAAGGGUAGUAGAAACUUUUGUUUUUAGGGAAAAAAACAAAAAGGAACAAAAACCAAGGUCGAAAGAGCAAGCUAACUACAAUAUAAUUUUGAUAUUGUGACCACCUUGAAAUUAGCAUCACCUAGUUCCGUUAAUGGCUAUAUUGGUGGCUCACGUUAUGUAGGUUGGAUUAGAUUUUUUUUUAAUGUUAAAAAAAAUACACAAAUAAUGGUAAAUAUUUUAGAUAAGAAAAAAAAUUUACGACUCAAGUUAUAGACUCGGCUAAAUUUAUAAAAAUUUAACUAAUUUAAUAACAUAAUUAAAAAAAUAACGACAUUAGAUAAAUCAUAAAAAAUAGCUAUAUAUAUAUAUAUAUAUAUAUAUAUAUAUAAAUGAACUUAUGGAGAUUUCAUAGAAAGAUAUUCCCCAAUAUUUUUAAAAGAUUUCUAUGAUCUUAUUCGAUAACAAAACAAAAAUAACCCAAUAAAAAAAAUGAAUUCUAAGCGAAUUAAAUGUUGAAAGAAGAAAUUGAAAAAUAUAUCAUUUUUUUAAAAAAAUGACCUUCACUCCACCCAAGUCAGCCUGUAAAAUCCACGACCUAAUCGUGAUAUUUUGAUGACCUCGUAAAAAGUAAUAUGAGAAAACUAUGAAGCUAAUUCUCAAACCAACCCAACAUUAAAGGGAGAAUUUGAAGAAAAAAAAUUAAUUUUAAAAAAGAGAGCAACAAAAACCCUUGUCAACUUAUCUAAAGUUUAAAUCUUAACAUCCAUAUUUUCUUUACAUACCUAAUGUUGAAAAAUAAAAUUAAAAAAAAAUACAAUUUUUGAAAAAGACCAAAAUCAACUUGACAUAAUCUUUCAAAUCAAUGACCUAGGUAAUGAGUCUAGGAUCACCUUAUAGAAGAGAAACCCGAAAAUAUCAUGAAAUUAAAUUCUCAAUCAUCAAACACUGAGGGAUGAAAUUUAUCAUAACCUAAUUUUAGGCCCCUAAAAAACAUUUAUGUAAAAAUAUUUUUCUUUUUUUGAAAUAACAUACAAUCCAAAACAUCAUAAAUCCAAAACCUAAAAAUAUUUUCAGGACACAAAUAGAUGGAUUUUUGAGCAGUAACAAGUCAGAACUCUAGAAGGAUAGUUAUUAAAGCCAUGCCGACUUGCCUUAAAUUUAAAAAACAUCAAAAAAUCAAUCUGUUUAUUUUGAAUAUCAAUUAUUACAAAAUUAUAUAUAAGAUGUAUUUUCAAUAUUAAAAGAAACAAAUUCAAAAAAACAAUUUUGGCUUUAAAAUAGCUAGACUUGACCUAUAAAACCAUGAUCCACCUUACUAUAGUAAAUCUACUUUAACUAAUAGACAUACCAAUGGAUAGUAAAACACAACGAAGCCUUAGAAAUAAGUAGACAAAUAAGCAAUACAGCUUACCUUAGAUAGAGUGUACUAGGGGUGAUAUUGUUCUCCUUAUACAUAGCCGAUUCUCUUAUCCAAACUCUGAAGACUAAUUAGGAUUUUUAAUAACCAAAAUAUUAGGUGACGACUCUAAUCAUUUUAAACUAUAAAAGGACAAGAAUUAUUUGUUCUUUACACACACCCAAAUCCUGAUCCAAAAAGAUUAUCACAGCAACGCCACACACAUGCAACAAAUUUGAAAACAAAUUCAAUAAAAAAAGGAUUAGAAAAAAAAUUAGGAUCAGAUUUGAUAUAAAAAUAAAAUGAAAUGAAACAAAAUCCCUAGGGAUGAAAUUUUAAAAAAUAAAUAAAUUAAAAAAUAAUUAAAAAAAAAUAGAACAAAAUUUGAUAUAAAAAUUAAAUGAAACUAAAUAUUGAAGGACGAAAUUGAAAAACAAAAUCAAUAAAAAAAAUAACAAUCAAAAGAAUGAGAACCAAAUUUGACACAAUAACAAAAUAACAAAACAUUAUAAUUUUUUGUAGGCUAGCGCAUAUCUAGCGCGUAUCUCGAGAAGAUGACAUAGAAAAGAGAGAGAAGAAGAAAAAAAAGCCGCCGAAGGAACUCGCUAGAGACCUAUCGAUUCUCCUCCGUUGACACGUGCUAGAUCGCCAGGAAAAGGGUGGCGAGACACUUCCAAUGUUAUCUAGGAAGAUGGUGUUUGGAUGUUAGGUAGGCACCCACAUGCUAUCUAAACACAGUGGGCACUUCCCACUCGAUGACAUGUGUUUUGCACGCAUCAACCAAGUUGCUCUACUCAUCUUUUUCAGUCCUUUGAUUUUUUUUUUUCAAAUUGAAUCCCUCAAACCUUAAGUAUUUUAGAUCGAUAUAAUUGUAUUUUAUUUUAAAAACCGAGCAUCAAACAUGUGUCAUAAUUUAUCCUCGAUAAUGUGGGAUCCCUGUAUCUAAGGCAACAAAAAAAAUAUCAAGUUCAACCUAAAAGAAUUUCAAUGUUAAAGGGUAAAAUUAAAAAAAUAAUUGAGGGAUAAAAAAAGAAAAAAAGAUUGAAUCUCUCCCUUUACUGUUCAAUUUAGUCCAUGAUGCAUGCAAUGAAAAAAAGGGCUCAAUACUUGUCAACUACUCAAAUUUGAUCCCCGUUACUUCAAUUGUUCUAAUUCAAUUCAAUUUCAUUAAAUUUUGUUAAAUUAAGCAUAAAUAAAGAGUUGGUUUUGUUUUUCACAUUGCAGGCAUUCAAUACCAAGCUAGCCGAAAUAAAAUCACAGUUCAAUUUCAAUUUCAAAAUAAUCUAAUGUAAAAGGAUAUGAUGAUCAAAAUUAAAAAAAAAAACAAAAAAAACAUUAUUCAAACGGACAAUGUUUUGGCUUAUAAUUUACAAUAGGAUGAUACUAUUAAUUUUAAUAGAAUAUUGUUUUGUCUCAUAAUUUACAAUAGGCACCCAUAAGUCAGCAAAUGCUGACUAUGAUAUUGAAAAAAAAAAUUCCGGCUUUUCUAAUUAUACAAGGAGGACGUAUUUGAACACUUUAUCUUACAUUUCUUUUCUAAGAAAAGAUCAUUAAAGUUAGGUAUAUACUUGGACCAAUUUUCGAACACUAAAACAAAUUAAUUCCGUCUUUCAAAUCCGAUCAUCUAGAAGAUUUAUAAAUUUAUUCCUUAUAUUUUGAUUUAAUAUCUAAAUUUGAUGUAAAAAAAAUAUUUAUAACCCCACAAAAAAGCUUAAAAGAUUUCACAAAUCAUGUCGGGUUAUCUUUUCACAAAUUAGAUAGUAUUUUAUUAAGAAGACGGUGGCAACAGAUAACACAUAUUUUUUUUUAAUUAUAUAAAUUCACGCCAAAACUAUUAUAAAAACAUUUUUUUUUAAUAUUUAUCUUUGUUUUUUUAAUUUUUUUUGAUGUCUUUUUCUUUUGUGACUCGGCUUAAAAGGUUUGCGAAUUAAUUUAAGCCCUUUUCCAAUCAUUAUACAUCUCAAGCAAGCAUAGGAGAGCUCUUUAGACUAUUUUGAAUUAAUGGCAUGCCUAUGAUGGAAUAAAAAUGGUGAAAAAACCCGAAAAAAGCUUCAGAGAUCCCUCUCAAGUAGUCGAAAACAUUGACGAAUUUAGGGCUCCUACCUAUUGAUGACAAAUUUGAAAAUUGGUCUGCACUAUUUAAUAUUAGACCAUAGGCAUCAAAAUCUUGGCCAAACCUUUCCUUACAACUUCCCAAGCUAACUCACCUUUCUUUUACUGUAGCUGAUUUUACUUUUUGUUUUUUAAAUUAUCAUAGGUGUCCGAGACUGCUUGUACGUAUCUCGAUUAAUUCCAUAAAUUUUAAAAUUAAUAAUCAUGUAAGUUUUCAAUGACCUUGAAAUUUAUGGAACUCGAACUAAUAAUUUCUAAAGAGCAAAUCCAAAACUUAAUAAGUUAAACUACAUUUUUCAUGAGCUCAAAUAAGAUUAACCGAGUGAGUUUACCGGGUCCUCCACUCAUGCAAAUUGCUCCUUUUUUUUCCUUCUUUUCCAUUUAUCUUUUAAAUGUUUGUUGACUUUUUUGAGAAAUUAAUUAUUUUUGUGUUUUAAAAAUGUUUUUUUUUAAAUUAAUCUUUUAUUUUUAAUUAUUAUUUUUGAUGAUUUUAUAUUAUUUUUUGUUAUGAAAAAUAAAUAUUAUUAAAUAAAAAAAUAUUAUUUUAAUAUAUUUUAAAUAAUAAUAAUAAUAAUAAUAAUAAUAAUAAUAAUAAACGUGCUCUCAGUCUUCAUUUGGGGCUCAGAUUAAACCUCAAGCUAUUACACAAAUCUCUAGAAUAAUUUUGUAUCUGUUGAAUUAAAAGUUAGAAAAUAUAUUUUAUGCUUUCCAACUUGAAAAAAAUAUCUUACAAAUCCACUAUUGUCAUGAAAACCUGGAUUCCACCACCACCACCAACAAACCUUUGUUUUUAUCUUUUAUCAACAUUUAUUUUUUUAACACAAACAAAACUCCAGAAAAACUAUUAAUUAAAACUAGUUUUUUCGACACAUAGUUAAUUUUCAAGUAUUUCAUUCAAUUAUUAUAUUUUAUACUAUUUUUAUACUACUUAAUGGAUUGUUUGAAUUAUUUUUAUAUUAAUAAAUUUUUAAGUAUUAUUUAUUGAAAAUUAAAAUAUUGUAUUUUUCAAAAAUUACUAAUUCUUAUAAUUUAUAAUUAAAUGAAGUUUUUUUAUUUACAAUUUCAAUAAAACAAGAAAUCUCUAUAAAAAUAAAUAGAAAUAAAAUUUAUUAAUUUGAUGCAAUUUUAGUAUUUUCGGUUUUUAAUAUUAUUCAUUUUUAUUUUCUUAUUUUAAGUAUUUUUAUUGUUUUGAUGGUAAAAGUUAAGUAUCAUCUAAGUUAGGAGUGAUUUUAUUAGAAGCUUAUUUAUGGUUAUAUAUGGUAUAUAAAUAGGACAAAAUGGGGGAAAAAAAAGGACUGGUCUAUUUUGUUGAAAUUAAUAUUGUUUUAAGAAUCUUAUUCAUGUUGGUCUCUGAUCUUAAUUAGAGGUGGGGUUGGAUUUAUAUAUUGGAGUAAAUUACAUUGUUAGCAGUUAUUGAGAGUAUAAUAGUAAAUGAAAAUAUUUUAAGGAGUUUGUGAUUUUAUACACUGUUAUAAAAUUCAGACUACCAUGAGUUCAACUCGGACCUAAUUAACUUAAGGUCUAAACCGACUUGGAUUGAAAAAAAAAUAAUAAUAAAAAAAAUUAGUUAACCCUGUCAAAAAUCAUGGUUGACCCGUGACUUAAUCAUUCCAAACUUGACCCGGUCAAAAUUCUACCCGCAACCUAUUGAUUUUUUAAAAAAAGUUUUUUAGUUAAAAUAAUCUAACAUUUUUUAUUUAAAAAAAUUUAGAAAUUAACCUGGUUUUAAUAUAUGACCCAAACCUUGUCCUUAAUCAUUAACCUUGAUUCACAACUAUAAUUUUAUAUAUAGCUAUGGAUUUUUAUUAUCAUAACCAAAUAUAUAAAAUUGAUUUAUUUUCCAUGAUAUCUUUCAUAAACUACUUAUUUUAUGAAAAACAAAGCUUUAUGUUAUUAGAAAGAUUGUCAAUACACCACCAUUCCCUUUCCCAACAUGAGGAUCAACAACUCCAUAGAGCAUAUUGAAGAAAAAACCAAACAAUCUUAAGAUGUCAGAUGUAAGGACUUUGAUAUAAGAUUCUGUAAAUCUUUAGUGUUCUAAUUGACAUAAUUGAUUUUUUAGGGGAUGAUUUAAAUUUUUGUUUUUUUAUUAACAUGGGUGUCCAGGUUAACUUGCGCGUACCUUGACUAAUCCAACGGGUCCUGAAAUUAACGAACAUGUAAGCCUCUAAUGACUAUCAUAUUGGCAACCACAAAGGGAACAAACCCUUUAAUAUCAAGUUCUUGCCAUUGAACCACCUACUAUACGAUUGAUUUAAAUUUUUUUAAUAAAUGAAGAACUAAUUCGAGUUUAUCCUUAUUUUAAACCAAUUGAUCACUUCCUUACAAAUGGUCCAAAUUAAUGUGAAUGGUGAAUUCCUUCCGGUGAAGUUUAAAACAAGUGGAUACAUGUCUUCUUAUAAAUAAUACCCUCAAACGCUUCCCUAAUUGAGUAUGAAUUUAUUUUCUUUAACAAAUUCUGUGAUGCUUGAAAAGUCGCUAAUCCAAAAGUUUUAAGUUAAUGGACAGGUAUUAUAUUAUUAUUUUAAUUGAGUGUAAAUUUAUAUUCUGAAGUUUUUAUGGCGUUUUAAAUUUCAUAAUUGAUCUAAAACUUUUAGCUAAUUGAUGACCAAUGAAUUAUCCGAAUUGAAUCAAACAUUAAAUUAAAAUGAAUAAAUAAAAGCUAAAUCUCAGUGUGCUAUUUCACUGGAAAAGUGCAAGCAAUUUUUUUUUGUUUGGUUUUUUAUCUUAUUUUAUUUCAGUCAUCAAUAGAUUUUUUUUUAAUUUCAUCAUUUUAAAUUGAAUUAAAUAUUUUUUUAUUCAUAAUUUAUUUUAACUAGCUUACUAUAGAGUUAUUGAGGUGUCAAAAAAGGUUUUCAGCAUUAGAUUGGGUUUUGUUGAUUAAAAAAAUUAAAAUUUUGAAAAUCAAAUUUAACAAUAAAAGAAAUAUACAACUUUUUUUAAAAUAAUAUUGUGCUGUCAAUGCCUUUCCUUAAAAAAAUGCCUUGAGAUUUUUUAUAAUUGUUUUUGUUUGUUUAAUUUAAAAAUUAUAUAUUUUAAUAUAAAACUUCAUUUUCUUUAUAUAUCAUACAUCGAGUUUGCAAGAGGAGAGAAAAAGUCACCGAAAAAUAAUGAAGAAAAGAUAAAAUAUUUGUUGGCAAGAUUUUGUUAAUAAAAAAAAUCAAUUUUAGUGUUAAAGCAUUUAACUUGACGAGGGGAGUGCUAUUAAGGUGUUUUUAAUAUUUCUUGUUGUCGAGAAAGGUUGAUUUGAAAAAAAAUUUGUUUUUAGUUUAAUUUUUUAUUUUUUAAUAGAUUUUGAUAUUUUUAUUUAUUUGAGUAAUUCAUGUAUUGAGGUUAUAAAAGUGUGUUUAGAUAAUAGACAAUGAAUUAUCUGCUUUUCUUUAAAAAAAAAUAUUUAAACAGCUGACAUGUUUUUUUUUUUAAAAGGGCGCAACCAAGUGGGCAUGAUUUUAUUUUUAAAGGGCAAGGUGUGCAGAGCUACUUAGGACCGUGCACCUAGCUUUGUUUUUAUUUUUUAUUUUUCCUUAUAUUCAAUUUAAUUUAUUUAAAAUCCAUUAAGUUAAAAUAUAUCUUGUAUAUUAUUUUAUAAAUUUUUAAAUCAAUUAAGAAUAAAUUUUAGAUAUUGUUGUAUUAAAUUCUAUUCAGUUUUAACUUUGUUUUCAAAUAAAGUUUUAGCAAUCUUUUAAUAAUAUUAAAAAGAGUUAUUUUUUUACAAUUUUUUUAAAAUCAUUUGAUAGUUUUCCUAUAGCACUUUUUUUAAAUCAUAUUGUUAAAUAGAAUUUUUUUAAAAUAAAAUUAUUAAACUCAAUUAGGUUCAUGAGUCAAGUCAUAAAUUUGAUGAAUUAACUUAAAUCGAUUCAAGAUGUCUUUAUUUCAAAAAAAAUUAAAAAAAUUUAUCUUAUUUUUUUAAGUCAAACCAGAUUUUUACGGAUUGUUCAAUAACUUUAGAUUAACCUCCACAUAAUUUGAUUAAAAAUAUAGUUAGAUAAAGAAUAGGGUUAAAUUUUUUUAAAAUUUAGCUACUCAGUCUGGUAUAACAAUAUUAACAAAGAUUUUCCCGACAAUAACACACAAGUGUUGUAUAAUGUUUUAUGGCUUUUAAUAAAAUCACAUCAAAAUUAAUAGUAUAGUUUUUUAAUUCAAACUUGCUUUUAGAAUAAUUAUAGAAUAUUGUUUAAGAAGCAAAUAUUCCUAUAAACAAAUAAUUCAAACUUGCAAUGUAAAAACAUUUAGCACCUUUUUUUAACAUUUUUAAUAUAAACAUUAGAUUUUAAAUUCAUAAUUAAUAUAUAUAUAUAUAUUUUAAAUAUACGUUAAUGAUACUUACAUGUUUUUUUUUUAAUAAUAAAAAAAAGACUUUAACUACUACCCGCAAAGUAGCCAAGGUCAGGUAGCUAGUUAAAUCUAUUUUAGCUUCGGCAUUGCCUAUUUUAAUAUACGAGAUACGUACUUGAGCUAUAUCACUCACUUACAUUGUGUUGGUGUUUAGAUACUGUCUUGGAAUAAAAAAUCUAUAACAAAAACAUGUUUAGUUAUAAAAAUAAAAAUAAUUUAUUUAUUUAUUUAUUUAUUUAUGUCUCUAGAUAUUUUUAACCAGUUUUCCACCAUAAGGAAAGCAUGGGAAAUGAAGAUUAGACGAGUUUUUAUUUUAUUUUUUCAUAAAAGCUACUUUAAAUAUAUCAUAAUUUCAUUUUUAAAAUUUUAAAAGGCAUAGGAUAAUGAUAACAAAAAAAAAAAUAUAAAGUAAAUUGAAAAAAAUAAGAAUGGUCAAUCCCUAACAAUCUAAAUGUAGAAAGAUAAAAUAAAAAAAAUCAAUUAACAAAAAGAAACCCAAAAAAAAAACAAAAUACUUGUAAACUCGAGUAUGAUGGAUAAAACUUGUGAGGUGAUCAUGCAAAAAAGAUAAUUUAAUAAAAGAAAGAAACAAGAAAAAAGCAAAGCUUAAUUUUUAAAGGAAUCUAAUUUUAAAGGAUGAAACCAAAAAAAUAUGAAAAAAAGGCAACCUAAAAAGAGUAUCUAAAUAAAAGGGCUAAACCUGAUGCCUAAGUCAUGAGAUCAUGAUAACCUGAUUGAAAGAAAAUCGAGAAAAAUCACAAAGCCCAUUUUUCAAAAUAAACAUUGUCAAAUGAUGAAAUUAAAAAAAAACAAUGUCAACUUUUGUUAAUUUUUCAAACUCGUGACUCGAGUCACUAAACCAAAAGAACCCACUUGAAAAAACCAUGAAGCCUAACUCCCGAUAAAUCAAAAUUCAAAGGAUGAAAUUGAAAAAAAAUCAAUUUUAUAAAAGGAUUCAAAACAAAAGUAGCAAUCAAGAGAAUAAAGAUCUAAUUUGAAAUAAAAAGUAAAUGAGAAAACAACCUAAAAUUUUGAAUUGAAUGAAAAAAUUGAAAAGAAAAAUCAAAUUGAAAAAAGAAUGCAAUUCAAAAAAUAAAAUCAAAAGAAUGAAGAUCAUAUUUGAAAAAAUAACAAAACACAAUUAUGAAUAUCUAAUGAUGAAAUUGAAAUUUGAUAAAAGAGAAUAAAAACAACUAGAAAUCAAACAAAUAAGGACAAAAUUUGACAUAUUAGUAAAUAAGAGGGAAAUUUUCAAUGGCUAGUGUGAAUUUCGAGGGAAGGAAGAGAAAUAAUGAAAAAAAGAGAGUUCGCUAACAACACAAUGUCACCCAAAACACCACACAUGUCGCCCUAUGUAGGAAAAGGUGUUACAACGCUUCCAAGACCGUAGCAGAAGCCGAGGUUCCUCCACGCUUCUAGAAAAGCACGGAGUGGCUCCACAUGCCAACCUCUUUUUAAUAAUAUUUUAUACUUAUCAAUGUACUAUAUUUUCCUAAGCCAACAUGAUUAUAACCAAAAAAUCAGAAUAAAAAUGCAAAAAACCCCUGAAAGCUAGUUUAAUAACUUUUGCCUACAAGGGUAAUUCAAUAACUUUAUUGUGAAAAAAAACUAAAGGUUAAAAAGCACUUGGAUGAAAGCUAAUAAUUUUUUUUUUGCUUUGAAGAGUAAUAAGUCAUUUACUAUGCUAAAAAAAUUAACAUACUAGUUUAACUCUGAUCAAUCUAGUAAUAUCCAAUGGAUCUAGCAAAAAAGACCAGAUUACCUCUAAUAACAAGCCUUUUGAUUUUUUUUUGUAAGGGUCAAAAUCAUUAUUAUAUUGUUUCAUUCCACAAUAUAAUAAGUCUAGGGCCACAAUAUUUUACCGAUACAUUUUUAUUCUCUCCAUAAAAUAAUAAUAAUUACUAUUACUAUUAAUAUUGCUAACAAAACUAAAAGAAUUGAGGGAUAAUUAAACACUUACUUUAACUAUUCAUAUGAACAGUACAAGUUGGUCCUUUUUUUUAAAUUUUAAAUUUUAACAAUUUAUUGAUUUUGUACUAACCUUUAUAAUUUGUUUUAUUUUGAAUUUUAUAAGGUUAUUGUAGUCUCAAACAAACGUCUUAGUAUUUGGUUGAUACUUGAUUUUGUGAGCGUUUAUUUUUGUUAUCAUAUAAUUAAGUAAAAAUAGCUUAAAGAAACAAAAUUACUAAACCUAGUGGAGUCCAUGAUUUGGAUCACGGGUUUGACAGGUUAUACCGCGAAACUCGAGUCAAUCUAAUAUGUUGUCUUGUCAAUAUUCAAAUAAAAAAAAGAUAUCAUUUUGAAUUUUUUUUUUAAAGUCAAACCAUAUUUUUAUUGCCCAUUUAAAUUGUAUUUAGACUCAUUGAAUUGAUCGGAUCAUGUUAGGACAACUCUCAUAUGGUUUAAUUUAAAACUCAAACCAGACAAAAAUCAAAUCGAGAGAUUUAAAGAUUAACUCGAUAGAAUUGAUUUAACAACGAUGUCCGAUCUGUAGCGCGGCAAGGAUAGCAAACUAGUUUUACCACUAAUUAGGAAGAGAAGGAAUAUUGUGUUCCUCAUUUCUACAGCAAUAUCUUAUUAGUGGUACAAACAUAGGUUUUUUUAUAUAAAGAAUGAAAUGAAAAGAACAAAACAUAUACACAGAGCAAUAACACAAUUACUACAACCCAUGAGCUCAAAAAAGAGAAUCCAAGAAGAAAAGGAGGAAAAAAGAAAAGAAAAAGGUAGAGGGUCUUUUACCAAAUGCUUAAAAGGGGACUCUCCAAGCGAGUACUUGGAGACACACCCACCUCCCUCUCCCAACCAAAAUGCUUUUUCUUUUCUACUACACACUUUUGUACUGCAAUUUAGGCCAUUGAAGAUCGAGCCAGAUACCAAUUUAACAAGAUAUAUCAAAUAAUUAUUUAUAUUAUAAUAAAAAUACUGCCCGAGGCCAUCAUCUCUCUCAUUCUCAAAUCCAAACAAAACUCAAAACAAAAGGGAAAAAAACAAAGAAAAUAAAAAAGCAGACCCUGUGCUUUGGGGACUGCAAGUGCAAGCUUGCUCUCGCAACUCUCAAAGCAAAGCUGUAUAUUGUAUAGUUCAAAAAGAAUUCCUCAAUUCUGUUUAUUACCACCCACUACUCCAUAACCCCAGAGCCACAUGCUUUGCCAUUCUCAUCAUCACCACAACCAUCACCAUCACCAUCACCAGCAGUUCAAGAACCAGUUUCGUCUUCAUCUUCUUCUUUUUCCUCUUUUAGCUAGCUCACACUUUGUUUGAUCUUGAACAACAUCAAUCUAUUCUUCUCAUUCAAAAGACUUAAUCUGCCAAAGUUUUGGGUUUUCAAAUAGUAACCAAAGAUGAUUAGUUUACUAGAUUUCUACCAUGUGAUGACUGCAAUGGUGCCACUUUACGUGGCCAUGAUUUUGGCCUAUGGCUCGGUGAAAUGGUGGAAGAUUUUCACUCCUGAUCAGUGCUCGGGCAUCAACCGUUUUGUGGCGCUUUUUGCUGUCCCUCUCCUCUCUUUCCACUUCAUAUCUACUAAUGAUCCUUACAAAAUGAACUUUCGCUUCAUAGCUGCUGAUACUCUACAAAAGAUCAUAGUUUUAGUAGUAUUAGCAUUUUGGACUAUGUUUAGUAAAAGGGGUUGCUUGGAAUGGACCAUUACAUUGUUUUCACUUUCAACACUGCCCAACACUCUUGUUAUGGGCAUUCCUUUGCUCAAAGGAAUGUAUGGUGAUUAUUCUGGUAGUUUAAUGGUGCAAGUUGUGGUCCUUCAAUGCAUCAUUUGGUACACUUUGAUGCUGUUUCUGUUUGAAUAUAGGGGUGCUAAACUGCUCAUCUCUGAGCAAUUUCCAGACACUGCUGGUUCCAUUGUGUCAAUCCAUGUAGACUCUGAUAUCAUGUCACUUGAUGGUAGACAGCCUCUAGAAACUGAAGCAGAGAUCAAAGAAGAUGGAAAGUUACAUGUCACUGUUAGGAAAUCCAAUGCUUCAAGAUCGGAUAUUUUCUCUAGAAGGUCUCAAGGUCUAUCAUCAACAACACCAAGGCCAUCAAACCUUACCAAUGCUGAGAUUUACUCCUUACAAUCAUCAAGAAAUCCAACUCCGAGAGGGUCUAGUUUCAAUCACACGGAUUUCUACUCAAUGAUGGCGGCUGGUAGAAACUCAAAUUUUGGUGCUUCAGAUGUUUAUGGACUAUCAGCAUCUCGGGGCCCAACACCGAGGCCAUCCAAUUUUGAAGAAGAGAAUGGUGGAAGUAACAAACCAAGGUUCCAUUACCACGCGCCAGGUGGUGCAACUCAUUAUCCAGCACCAAACCCUGGCAUGUUUUCGCCAACAACUGCAUCUAAAGGUGUUGCAGCAAAUGCCAAUAAUGCUGCUGCAAAGAAACCUAAUGGGCAAGCUCAACAGAAAGCUGAAGAUGGUAGGGACCUUCAUAUGUUUGUUUGGAGUUCAAGUGCUUCUCCUGUUUCAGAUGUUUUCGGUGGUCAUGAUUAUGGUGCCCAUGACCAGAAAGAUGUUAGGCUCGCUGUAUCUCCUGGAAAAGGUGCUUAAUUUUUCCAGUUUGCUUAAUUAGUUUGCAAAUAUUAUCAAUAAAUCCAGAUUUUAGAUUGUUCUCUUUGUUUUUCUACUUUUAUUCAUCUGCUUUACACUUACUAUUAUUUCGUUUCUUGAUUGCUGUUUUUGUCGGCUUUGGAGUUUCAGUUGAGGGGCAUACAGAGAAUCAGGAAGACUAUAAUUUAGAGAGAGAUGGUUUUAGCUUUGGAAAUAGAGGAAUGGACAGAGAAAUGAAUAACCCUGAAGGUGAGAAAGUUGGUGCUGCAGGCAAACCAAAACCAAUGCCCCCAACAAGUGUCAUGACAAGGCUUAUACUCAUCAUGGUCUGGAGGAAACUUAUCAGAAACCCCAACACUUACUCCAGCUUAAUUGGUCUCACCUGGUCCUUGGUUUCUUUCAGGUACGGUACACCACUAAAUCCAUUAAGAUCUGUGUAUCUGGACAGCACAGUAGUUAAUGUAUCUGGGUAUUUUUUUUGUUUUUAUUUUUGAUUAAUGGGAUAUUGAUUGUCUUUGGAUCUCUGGUUUCUUACAGGUGGGAUGUACAGAUGCCUGCGAUUAUAGCUAAGUCCAUUUCCAUUCUGUCAGAUGCAGGGCUCGGCAUGGCAAUGUUCAGUCUCGGUCAGUAUCAGACUCUUGUCGUCUCCUUUUUUUACUUUCGUUACAGCUUACAAUCCUUUAUUCUUACCAUUUUGUUCUCUAAAAAUCUUUUUUGAUUCUCUCUUUCUACUUUUUCAUUAUUAAUGUCCCAAGAAAGCAAGCAGACUAGCAAAGUAAAGUGUGCCAAACAGUCCGAGGGUGAUCAUGUUGUUGGGGUUUUCUUUUUUCUCUCUCACUCUAUUACAAAUCCCUCGCUUUUUGCCUAGUUUGUGCUGAUGAAUAGUAGUGGUAGUGAUGAUGAAAGUUGUAUCACAUCAAAAAAAUGGUGGACGAGCAUGCUCUUAUUGCCUGCUGCCUUUUGAUGUGUUGACAGGUCUGUUUAUGGCUUUGCAACCAAGGAUCAUAGCAUGUGGGAAUUCCGUCGCAGCUUUUGCUAUGGCUGUGAGAUUCCUUACAGGUCCAGCUGUCAUGGCAGCUGCUUCUAUUGCUGUUGGUCUAAGAGGCACGCUCUUACACAUUGCCAUCGUUCAGGUCACUUUAACACACUAUCUCCUGUGUUUUCUUUUCUGCUGUGCUGUUUCUCGUUCUCUUGCCUCCUCCUGACACAACCAAUCCUACUUAACUACAGAAGCUCCAAAAAACUUAAUUACUUCCUAAACAAUGUUUGCUAUCUCCAGAUAAGAUUUUUUAUUCGGUUGAAAUUAUCCCCAUGUUGGAAUUAGACUCUUAGUGCAGAAAACAUUGAAUCUGUUAUCUUGCCAGAUGAAUAAAACAACAAAUAUUGUUUACUAUUUUCAGAUAUUUUUCAUCUCCAAAACUUUGUAAAAAAUGGGUGUUUGUACUCGUCGGGUAUUGUAUCUAAUAUUUUGAGGAAAAAGAUUGAAGCAUUCUGGAGGUAGCUAAAAGUGAUCUGGAAAAAGGAAUGACAGCAAAAAGAACAAGAGUAAUUACAGCGAGCCCAAUAAUGAAUCAAACCUUAAGGAUUUGUUUGGGGUUACUGAUGAACAGCAAGUAUCUGUACCUUUACUAACAUGUCCCUUUGCCUUUUUGUGCUUCCCUUCCCAAACGAAAAACACAGGCAGCUCUACCACAAGGAAUUGUCCCCUUUGUCUUUGCCAAGGAGUACAACGUGCAUCCUGAUAUUCUCAGUACAGCGUGAGUAUAUUUUUCAAACAAAGCAUCAUAGCUUAUGCACCAUUAUUUAUAUUUUUUUCUCUUUUUCAUUCGCCAUCUUUUUCCAUUGUUUUCUCUUAUUCUCAUCACUUGCUUUUGGGUUUUGAAAUCGCAGUGUCAUAUUUGGGAUGCUAAUUGCAUUGCCCAUAACUCUUGUGUACUACAUCUUAAUGGGGCUAUGAAGAGGAAAGAAAAAUACCUCGGAUAUUGGAAUCCAUGCAGACCCCAUCUGGGCUACUAGCUAGUGCAUGGAAAAACUGAAAGUCAAAAUUUUAAAGGACAGAGAAAAGCAGCCAUGGUGAAUCUUUCUGGCGAAAUGUCUUCUUUUGCCUCGAGAAGUUGUAAAAUUAAUGUUUGUAGUAAGGUUAUCAAUGAAAAAAAAUGAUGCCCUAGUUAAUUAGCUUUUCUUUAACCAUGUUCCCAGACAUUUAUGCUAGAAGUGCAACACAAAUUACAAAUGAAAAGAAGGGAAGGGAUCAUUCUUAGUGUUUUUUUUUUAAUUAACAUGGAUAUUCGGGCUAACUUGCAUGUAUAUUGAUUAAUUAUAUAAGUUCUGAAAUUAACGAUUAUGUAAGCUUUUAGUAACCCUAAGAGGACUCGGACUUGAACUUCAUAGCUAAUUUUAUAUAUUUUUAAUGAUGAGGUUUUUUUUUCAAUUUUUUAAAAUUAAUUAUGACAUGAAAAACUUCAAAACUCGAGGCCUUUACAAAAAAAAAAAAAAAGAGAGAAUCCAAGAAGAAAAGAAAUAAGAAACAGAGACAAAAUAAAUUCUAGUAAUUUACGGGUAAAGUUGGAAAAAAACGUUUAUUUCCAUCUGGGUGUUUGAACAUCUGAUCUAGAGAGUGUUUGAGAGUAUAAUAGAGGAUUAAAGUGUUUUUUAUUUGGAAAUAUAUUAAAAUAAUAAUUUUUUAUUUUUAAAAAAUUAUUUUUAAAAUCAGCAUAUCAAAACGUUAUAAAAAUAUAAAAAAAUUAAAAAAAAUUAAAAUUCUUAAGAAACAUGGUUUUAAGAAACCGUGCUUCCAAUACUUCCUUGAUUAAAUGGAUGGGUUACUAGAUGAGGUGAUUAAGAGUGGAUGGGUUACUAGAUGAGGUGAUUAAGAGGGAUUAGAGAAACAUUAGUUAUUGACCUCAAAUUAAGAUGAUAAUUUGGGGAUACUUUUUAGACCAUGCUUUUGGAUUGCAUGUAUAAGAGAUAGUGCAAUUAGGGCCCCUCCAUUACAAGAUGGGGUUUCGAAAUUGAUUUAGACCUCCUUGGAAUAAUGGGAGACAACAGUCACAUCCAGAGUUUCUCCUCCUCCUCCUUCUUCAACCUCCUAAUUCUUUAGUUACACACAUGACCUUUUUCUUGACACCUUUCCCUUUCAUCCUUGCUCUAUGCUUAGUGCGACGAAUAAAUUCAUUUUGAACAAGCAUGUUGUGUUCUUAAUUAUACAAUAGAAUAAAAAGGCUACCGUAAGAACACCAGUCAUUCCAAAUUCAUCUUAUUUUCGUCCCUCAAAUCAUUACAUUCUUCCACAACUAGAGCAUGAAAUGCCCAAACCCAAGAGCUCCCCCAUGAAAAUACCUUCAAAAGGGAUCACGUUCGAGACAAGUUUUUCCUCCCACAUGAGGUGUAAAGUU
rnacentral:lncRNA from 1 species